rnacentral:lncRNA from 1 species
UUUUUUUGUUUUUCUUAAGGUUUAUUAAACACACAAGAAGAAAGUAGGAAAAAGAAAAUAAACUAGCAUGGAUAUUAUAGUGAAAGAGUAUGAGCACCGACAUCUAGCAAUGAGUGUGUGUGAACAUGAAUGUAAUGUCGGUGGGAAAUACGUACUCCCCCAAGCUUAGGCUUUUGGCCUAAGUUGGUCUAUUGCUAGGGAUGGCCUUGCGGAUACCCGUAGGUGAAGCUGGGGUCAUACUGCGAUGCAGCGGCUAUCGCCUCCUGAGCUGCAGCGUGGCGUCGAGCGGCCUCUACUCUCUUCUCGUACUCAUCUGCCUCCUCUCUGGUAAUAAUGUAUCUUCCUUUUGUCUGAGAAUCAAAGAAAGCAGGAGCAGGAAGAGUAAUAUGGACUACAUGACGUUUGUUAAAGAUUAGUCGAUACUGGAGAGGUGGUUCAGUCCUCUCAACAAACUGGUGGGAAACCAUAGAAUCAAAAUCCAAAUAAGUAGAGGGUAACUCCAUAUCACUCUCUCGAAUGUCUAUCUCAAGAAAAUUAGCUAAGCGGGUGGCAUAAAUCCCUCCAAAGAAAUUCCCGUUAUGUCUAUUAUGGUGCAACCUGCGAGCUACAAUGGCUCCCAUAUGAUAAGAUUGGUCCCUUAACACAGCACUUCUGAGAAUGCUGAGAUCAGGUGCACACAUGUGACAUGCUUCAUCUUUAGCAUUAAUGCUUCUACCUAUAAAGAGAGCAAAAUAAUGUAUAGUAGGGAAGUGAAUGCUCCCUAAAGUGGCUUGCGUUAUAUCUCUAGAUUCCCCCACAGUUAUUCUAGCAAGAAAGUCUCUAUAUUCAGAUUUAGGGGGAUCCCUGACACUACCCCAAGAUGGAAGUUUGCAAGCAAAAGUGAAAUCCUCCAAGUCCAUGGUAUAAGAUUUGUCAUGAAGGUCAAACAUGACUGAAGGAGAAUUACGCGAAGAUAAAAACUCAAACCUCCUCACAAAUGAACUUGUGAGAUCAUGAUACUGGGGGCAUUUGUCAGCUUCAAAGUCCUCAAGACCGGUGUUACGCAAAUAUAUGCUAAACUCUUCUUUGAUUCCCAAUUGAUUCAUAAAAUUUUCCGAAGGCCAUUCACAGGGCCUCACAGGAGCGUCUCUUGGUGGUUCCUCAUCAGCAUCACACAUUGCAAGCCUGGGACCUUGUUUCCUUGAAGAGCCACCUUGGAACAUCCUCCUAAGCAUAAUGUCUCCUCUGAAAAAUUUCUGAAACAAUCUGAAAUUUUUAGUAACUUCAAAUAAAAGUGAACCAACUUCAAUAAAAUUGAGAGCAACUACUCCCACAAGUGCCUAGGACCUAUAUCAAGCAUUAGAACUACUUGGGACCAUAUAAAUUGGACAUUCAAGCUCAAGAACAUGGUCACCUUAACAGCAUAAAUUUGCAAUGAAUAAAGCACUAGAACAAAAAAGAAUUGGACCAAUGGAGGAGUCACAUACCAAGGAACAAUCUCCCCAUGCAGUUUUGCGAGAGGUGCUUUGAGCAAGGAGAUCAAAAAUCACAGCAACCGGGGCUGGAACUCGUGCUUGUGUUGGUUUUUCGUGCUUGUGUGAGGCAGAGGAAGAAGAUGGGUGCAGGGAUAAGUGGAGGAGGGCCACCAUGGGCCCACAAGGCAGCGGGGCACGCCCAGGGGGUAGGGCGCGCCCUCCACCCUCGUGACCAGGUGGCAGCUCCCCCCGCGGUGAUUUUUGCACAGUAAAUUCGCAAAUAUUCCCGAAAAAAUCAUAAUAAAUUGGCAUGGCAUUCUGAGGACUUUUAUUUUCGGGAUAUUUUUAUAUUGCACGGAUAAGUCGGGAGACAGACAGAAAAAUACUAUUUUACUUUAUUUGUAUUAAAUAACAGAAAAUAUAAAGAGGGUACAGAAGGUUGUGCUUCUAGUUUCAUCCGUCUCAUGUUCAUCAAAAAGAAUCCACUAACAAGGUUGAUCAAGUCUUGUUAACAAACUCAUUCCGAUUAACAUGGAACCCGAGAAAUUUCGAAUAACACUAAGUUACCUCAACGGGGAUAUGAAAAUCCCCAACAAUAAGAAUAUCAUACUUUUUCUUGACAGUAGGGAGAGGAAAUUCAAAACCUCCAAAUAUAAUUGAUGGAAUUUUCCCAAUAGAGUUGAUACUAUAAACUUGAGGUUGUUUCCUUGAAAAGUGUACCGUGUGCUCGUUACCAUUAACAUGAAAAGUGACAUUGCCUUUUUUGCCAUCAAUAACAGCCCCUGCAGUAUUAAGGAAAGGUCUUCCAAGAAUAAUAGACAUACUAUCAUCCUUGGGAAUAUCAAGAAUAACAAAGUCCGUUAAAAUAGUGACGUUUGCAACCACAACAGGCACAUCCUCACAAAUACCGACAGGUAUAGCAGUUGAUUUAUUAGCCAUUUGCAAAGAUAUUUCAGUAGGUGUCAACUUAUUCAAGUCAAGUCUACGAUAUAAAGAGAGAGGCAUAACACUAACACCGGCUCCAAGAUCACAUAAAGCAGUUUUAACAUAAUUUCUCUUAAUGGAGCAAGGUAUAGUAGGUACUCCGGGAUCUCCAAGUUUCUUUGGUAUUCCACCCUUAAAAGUAUAAUUAGCAAGCAUGGUGGAAAUUUCAGCUUCAGGUAUCUUUCUUUUAUUAGUAAUAAUAUCCUUCAUAUACUUAGCAUAAGGAUUUGUUUUGAGCACAUCAGUUAAUCGCAUACACAAAAAGAUGGGUCUAAUCAUUUCAGCAAAGCGCUCAAAAUCCUCAUCAUCCUUUUUCUUGGAUGGUUUUGGAGGAAAAGGCAUGGGUUUCUGAACCCAUGGUUCCCUUUCUUUACCAUGUUUCCUAGCAACGAAGUCUCUUUUAUCAUAACGUUGAUUCCUUGAUUGUGGGUUAUCAAGACCAACAGCAGGUUCAACCUCUACAUCAUUAUCAUUACUAGGUUGAGCAUCAUCAUGAACAUCAUCAUUAAAAUUUUCACUAGGUUCAUGUUCAUUACCAGAUUGUGUUUCAGCAUCAGACAUGGAAAUGUCAUUUGGAUUCUCAGGUGGCUCAGCAAUAGGUUCACUAGAAGUUUGCAAAGUCCUAUCAUUUUUCUUUUUCUUCUUUCUUGAAGAACUAGGUACAUCAAUAUCAUUUCUCUGAGAAUCUUGCUCAAUUCUCUUAGGGUGGCCUUCAGGAUACAAAGGUUCCUGAGUCAUUCUACCAGUUCUAGUAGCCACUCUAACAGCAUAAUCAUUUUUCUUACUAUUCAUUUCAUCAAGCACUUCUUUUUGAGCUUUAAGUACUUGUUCUAGUUGAGUGGUAACCAUAGAAGCAUGUUUGCUAACAAGUUUAAGUUCUCCUCUAAUAUCAGCCAUAUAAUCACCCAAGCGUUUAAUCAUAUAAGCAUCUUGUUUUAAUUGUCUACCAAAAUAGGCAUUAAAGUCAUCUUGCUUAAACAUAAAGUUAUCAAACUCAUCCAAGCACUGACUAGCAAUUUUAAUAGGAGGGACUUCAGCAUUAUCAUAUCUAUAGAGAAUUUACCUUUACUACCUGUGUCGGGAUAUCGGGAUCAGGAGGUUCUUCAGUGAAUAAAGUAUUGAGAUCAUAUGCUUCUUCAACAUGCGGUAAAUUAAGACCGUGUAUUUCCUCAAUAGGAGGUAAAUUCUUAACAUCUUCGGCUUUAAUACCUUUUUCCUUCAUAGAUUUCUUUGCUUCUUGCAUAUCUUCGGGGCUGAGAAAUAGAACACCUCUCUUCUUCGGAGUUGGUUUAGGAAUAGGCUCAAUAAUUGGCUCUGGAGCUGGCUCAGGAGGUGCCCAAUUAUUUUCAUUUGUCAACAUAUUAUUCAAUAGAAUUUCAGCUUCAUCCGGUGUUCUUUCCCUGAAAGAGAACCAACAUAACUAUCCAGGUAAUCUCUGGAAGCAUCGGUUAGUCCAUUAUAAAAGAUAUCAAGUAUUUCAGGUUUCUUAAGAGGAUGAUCAGGCAAGGCAUUAAGUAACUUGAGAAGCCUCCCCCAAGCUUGUGGGAGACUCUCUUCUUCAAUUUGCGCGAAGUUGUAUAUUUCCCUCAAAGCAUCUUGUUUCUUAUGAGCAGGGAAAUAUUUAGCAGAGAAGUAAUAAAUCAUAUCCUGGGGACUAUGCACACAACUAGGAUCAAGAGAAUUAAACCAUAUCUUAGCAUCACCCUUUAAUGAGAACGGAAAUAUUUUGAGUAAAUAAAGGUAGCGCGAUCUCUCAUCAUUAGUAAACAGGGCGGGUAUAUCAUUUAACUUAGUAAGAUGUGCCACAACGGUUUCAGAUUCAUAGCCAUAGAAAGGAUCAGAUUCAACCAAAGUAAUUAUAUCUGGAUCAACAGAAAAUUCAUAAUAAUCCUUAUCAGGAACACAAAUAGGUGAAGUAGCAAAAGCAGGGUCGGGUCUCAUUCUAUCUCUAAGGGAUUCUUUACUCCAUUUAACUAGCAGCCUCUUAAGUUCGUAUCUAUCCUGGCAAGCAAAAAUAGCUGCAGAAGAUUCCGCAUCAAAAAGAUAACCCUCAGGAAUAGCAGGCAUAUUUUCAUCGUCACUCUCAUCAUUGUAUUCAGAUUCAAUAAUUUCUCUUUCUCUAGACCUAGAAAUUUGCUCAUCUAGAAAUUCACCAAGGGGCACAGUAGUAUCAAGCAUAGGAGUAGUUUCAUCAUAAGUAUCAUGCAUAGCAGAAGUGGCAUCAUCAAUAACAUGCGACAUAUCAGAGUUCAUAGCAGAAGCGGGUUUAGGUGUCGCUAGCUUACUCAUAACAGAAGGUGAAUCAAGUGCAGAGCUACAUGGCAGUUCCUUACCUCCCCUCGUAGUUGAGGGAUAAAUUGUUGUCUUAGCGUCUUUCAAGUUCUUCAUAGUGUCCAGCAGAUAUAAAUCCCAAGUGACUGAAAGAAUAGAGCUAUGAUCCCCGGCAAUAGCGCCAGAAAAUGUUCUUGAUAACCCACAAGUAUAGGGGAUCGCAACAGUUUUCGAGGGUAGAAUAUUCAACCCAAAUUUAUUGAUUCGACACAAGGGGAGCCAAAGAAUAUUCUCAAGUAUUAGCAGCUGAGUUGUCAAUUCAACCACACCUGGAAACUUAAUAUCUGCAGCAAAGUGUUUAGUAGCAAAGUAAUAUGAUAGUGGUGGUAACGGUAACAAAAGUAAAGACAGCAAAAGUAAUGUUUUUGGUAUUUUUGUAGUGAUUGUAACAGUAGCAACGGAAAAGUAAAUAAGCGAGAACCAGUAUAUGGAAAACUCGUAGGCACCGGAUCAGUGAUGGAUAAUUAUGUCGGAUGUGGUUCGUCAUGUAACAGUCAUAACAUAGGGUGACAUGGAACUAGCUCCAGUUCAUCAAUGUAAUGUAGGCAUGUAUUCCGAAUAUAGUCAUACGUGCUUAUAGAAAAGAACUUGCAUGACAUCUUUUGUCCUACCCUCCCUUGGCAGCGGGGUCCUAUUGGAAACUAAGGGAUAUUAAGGCUUCCUUUUUAUAAAGAACCAGAACAAAUCAUUAGCACAUAGUGAAUACAUGAACUCCUCAAACUACGGUCAUCAUCGGGAGUGGUUCCGAUUAUUGUCACUUUGGGGUUGCUAGAUCAUAACACAUAUUAGGUGACUAUAGACUUUCAAGAUAGGAUCAAGAACACACAUAUAUUCAUGAAAACAUAAUAGGUUCAGAUCUGAAAUCAUGGCACUCGGGCCCUAGUGACAAGCAUUAAGCAUAGCAAAGUCAUAGCAACAUCAAUCUCAGAACAUAGUGGAUAUUAGGGAUCAAACCCUAACAAAACUAACUCGAUUACAUGAUAAAUCUCAUCCAACCCAUCAACGUCCAGCAAGCCUACGAUGGAAUUACUCACGCACGGCGAUGAGCAUCAUGAAAUUGGUGAUGGAGGAUGGUUGAUGAUGACGACAGCGAUGAAUCCCCCUCUCCGGAGCCCCGAACGGACUCCAGGUCAGCCCUCCCGAGAGAGAUUAGGGCUUGGCGGCGUCUCCAUAUCGUAAAACGCGAUGAUUUCUUCUCUCUGGUUUUUUUCUCCCCGAAAGCCAAUAUAUGGAGUUGGAGUUGGCGUUAGCGUCGGAGGGCCACCAGGGGGCCCACGAGGUAGUGGGGGGCGCCCUAGGGGGGGCGUCCCCCACCCUCGUGGACAGGGUAUGGGCCCCCUGGUCUUCAUCUUUGGCGAGGAUUUUUUAUUAUUUGUUCUAAGAUAUUCCGUGGAGUUUCAGGUCAUUCCGAGAACUUUUUUUUCUGCACAUAAAACAACAUCAUGGCAAUUCUGCUGAAAACAGCGUCAGUCCGGGUUAGUUCCAUUCAAAUCAUACAAGUUAGAGUCCACAACAAGGGCAAAAGUGUUUGGAAAAGUAGAUACGACGGAGACGUAUCAUCCUGCAGGAAGUGUUGGCGCCACAGUGCCAUGGCUUCCUCGUCCAUCUCGGCGAUGCCGAGACAGUGCUCCUGCCUCCGGUUGUCGCGACGAUCCUCGUCGGUGCUAAGCCGCAGCAGAGGCGCGAGCUCUUGCAACCGCUCCCGCGUCGGCACAUUGAGGAAGUUCAAUGUUCUAUGAGGCCACCGGAGGCGCCACGCCGUCGCGUCGUACGCGCGGGCGGCCUCGUUGGCGGUGUCGAAAUUGCCGAGGCCGAGGCGCAUCCUGCGGAACCGGAUCUCGAUGGAGAAGCCGCAGGAGGGGCGCGCGCGGACGCCAUGGUAUCCCCAAGUUUCCCGGCGACACGGCGGCAUGGUGGCGCGGCGGCAACGAGGCGAGAAAGAGCGGGGAGAGAGCGGUGGCGAGGUACAGAACAGGGAGAGAGAGGUGGCAAGGCACAGAGCGGUGGGAUGGCGUUGGAUUUUAUAAAGCGCGCCGGACGCCGCGCGCCAAAACUAGUGCACGCCCGGCCGCUUUUCCCGUGCGCGCGCGAUCCUUUCCCGACGUCUCUGCUAUCUCUACUCUCUUCUCUAGUGUUAUACUUAUUUUAUAUUUAAUAUUUAAUAUUUAUCUCUACUUCCUUUACUGUCUACUUUUUUUCUCUAUACUUUUUUUCUUGCAAUAUAGGCCAUCUGAUUUAUAUCUGAUAGAUAGGAAGGAAAUAAAUGAGAAUUUUGCAAAAAGAUACCCAUACCCCUCUCCAGAUUUGCAAAUAAGGCCUUCCCUUGUUCGUCCUUUUCUCCCACAAGAUAAACUACUCAUACAAAUGCAUCUUGAUGAGUGCAACGCAUGGGCAUCUUGCUAGUUCUAAAAACCUUUCCAUCAUUUGCCACACUACUAGUUACAGAUGAAAAACCUACCCAAGCACAGCGUGAUACAGGAGCGACGAACAAUUACAAGCUGAUAUUCUGUUGGACAAUGGAGGCUAUAACCAAUUACUUUUACGGGAACAAUAGCACCCAGGAAAUUUGAAGGGUAGGUAUGAACAAAAUUGGAACUGCACAUGUACUGCUAAGUGAUUCAAUACACACAUUACCAAUCGAGGAGGAGAACGAUGGUCGCGGCGGCCUCUGUGAGUCAUGGUCAGCAACGGGAGUCAGUUCAUUGUCCACGACGGUGGUACUUCUGUGCUUGGCAUCGGCUUCCGGGAAGCAGAUGCGAGACCGUGGAAGAUGAUGCCGGGGAAGAGGCUCCGUGUACGACGACGACGGUGGACUAGCUCCAGUGCGGCGUACGAGGUCGUCGAUGAGGCAGAUGCGCUGCAGUGGAUGAUUGCGCCGAUGUAAAGGGAAGGAGCACGAAGGCUGCGGUGCCGUGGAGAAGUCUAUGUUGCGGUGGGGAUAGAAAAUGGGGAGUAUUCAGGUGUACUACUCUGGGUGCCGGGGUGGGGUUGGUUGGGUAAGGUGAACCUGAAGUUACGAAACCAGCCCCCUACCAAGGGUCAUCCGUAGGCCUGUUCCAAAGGCUAUGAUGGUAACUUCCCACUGCUCGAAUCAGGGUCGCGGGAGAUUUUCCCGCCGACCUCAAAAUUUUGUGACACUAGACUCCCAUGUGGCAUGUUGAGUGAUUCGGCUAAGCAACUAGCGAGUAGUAGUAGUAAACUCUGCAUAUUAGGUUUGACCGAAGUCAAAUUUCCUAAAGUUUGACCAAGUUUAUAGAAAAAUACAAACAUUUACCAUAACAAAUAUGUAUGAUGUGAAAGUACAUUCAAUAAUGAAUCUAAUGGUAUUUAUUUGUUAUUGUAUAUGUUAAUAUUUUUUGUUAUAAGCUUUCUGAGAGUUUACAAAACUUGACUUUGACCAAUGCUAAUACGCGGACUAAAAUAAAAAUGGAGGGAGUACACAUUUGUUUUCUUAGUUUGUAGUGAACUAAUCAUUUGUUGAAAUUGUGAAAUAAAUAUAUUAGGCUAUUGACUUCGAAUGUAAUGGUCUAUACAAUUCAAUAGUUACAAUCAUUGUCGAAUCCCAAGAUGUAUACAAGGUCUAUAGUACUUCACAACAUGCUCAAACUCACAUAAUCCCAGUCAAAUGAGAAUCUAAAUGCAUUUCAUAGUUAUUACUUUCUAGGAUGCAACAAAAACAACCAUAACUCUACAUCAGCCAUUAUAGAAGCAACAUUUUGACAUAUCCCAAUGUGUGAAUCAAAGGUGCAGAGAGAGCUUUUGAAGAUGGAGCAGAUAGGGCGGGAAAGAUUGUAUGUAUAUGGACGAGAGAGUAGGAGACAAACCUAACGAGACACAGAGAGAGAGAUAGAGAGAGAAAGAGAGAGGAAGAAGUUAGGUCUGGAGAAAGAUGGAGACAUGUAAUAUACAUGAGAUGCGUGUGCAUCCGGAUUCUAUAUACGUGGAAGGAGAAGAGACAACAUGUUUGAUGAGAGAGUUGGAAAAACAUGGACGAGUGGGGAAGGAUCUCGUGGGUUGAGGGAUUGACAAUUUUGUGCGGGGGAGAGAGGGAUUGGUAAUUUUGUGCAAGAGAGAGAGAGGGUGGGGGGAGGAGUCAGUCAACCGUCGUCACAUCACCCUGCUUCCAAAUGACCCCGCAUUCCCUAGUGUGGUGUGGUCGCCGUCUUCGAUCUGCUCGAUGCCCUCUUUGAAGAUUGUGGUGUUGUGCAUGUUGGGGUGCAAAGAAGAACAAGCGAGAGCGGUCGCCGUAUAACCUUGGAUGAGGAUGAAUUGUGUGCUCGAGGGAGUGUGUGUGUGUGUGUGUGUGCGUGUGUGUGUGUGUGUGAGAGGGAUAUAUUGAGAGAAAACAAACCUAAGGAGAGAAAUGGGUAUUCACGAAGAGAUUGUGCGGGCCUUGAGGUGGGCAGGGGCCGGGUGAGGGUGUCAAAAUGUGCGCGUUGAUGCAUGUGUUGCAUGCGAUCGUGCGAGGGACGGACAAAUCGAGAGAGAUGGUUGUUGUGUUACGGAUGCUCCUCUCUCUCUUUGUCUCUCUUCGUCUCUCUCUCUCUCUCUCUCUCCCUCUCUCUCUCUCACACACGCACACACAAAAUUAAACUAGAAGACCGUUCUCUCAUGUAUACACAACGUAUCGGCAUCUGUCUAUGUCUCACUCAUGCAUGAUCGUUUGCACAUUGACACCUCUCUAUGUCUGUAUCACACGCACACCGUAUCCACAUUGCCCUUCUGCCACAACACACAUAUGGACACAUACACACGUUCUCUAUCACUCACACACACAAAAUAAGUAUUAAAAAACUAGGGCGCACCUAAAACGUCCAAAUCCAAAUAAACACAAACUGGAGCUAAAUUCAAAUAUAUGGAAAUAUUGCAGCGUCAAGAACUUUCCCAGGAAAAAAAGUUGAGUAAUAUUCGAGGAUUGUUUUCACACACACAAAAAGGUUCGGUGGAUGUCCUUCGAGCGCGACACGGUGACGCACCGUUCGAUCGACCGCGCGGCCAUGGUUCACGCGCUUGCACAGGAUUCCGUAUCGUGGCUGUGGUACUAACUUCAAAAAAAAACUAAUAAAAGCGCUGGCUAAGUCUAAUGUUUACGUGUACUAGUACAAUUUUCUUUUAAGUUUGAUCAACCUUAUAUAAAACUAAAGUAAGCUCCCACACGCACACUCAUCAAUAUGCCGCCGCCGCCGUUGCGCAUGCCGGCGCCCGCCUGCUUCGGCCAACAAUUUCUCGCCCAUCACCACCGUGUAGCCGCCAUCCCUGUGCCAUGAAGCCGAAGGCUCGCCCGCUCACGUCGUCUGCAGUCCCUCCUCGCCAUGCCGCCGCGCUACCAAGCACGUGAGCAGCUGGUGGAGCCACAUCUAUGCACGCAGCGUACGAAGAGGAGGACCAGCGCCUGCUCCAGCACGCCGGCGAGGAGGAACUAGCGUGUCAUUGUCGUCUCCGCACGCGCAGAGGAGGCGCGUAUGGUGGCUGUCAUGGCGGAAGCCGGUCGCGCGCGCAUCGAGCCUGCAAACCGGGUGCGUACGCGGAUUCUACCUUCGAGACCUUGAAUGCCACAUUGAUCCUGCAAUCUGAAGGAGCAAUUUGGGUCAGUCGACUCAUGUGAGCCGUUUGAUGCAACAUGGAUGUCUAUAAGGGCUUCUUCCACCUCUUCUGCCGUCUUCUUCUUUCGCUCCGUCGAACUUCUUUCACAAAUCGACUGACCCAAAUUAUACUACUAGUAUGAACGUAUUAAGUACAGUAGGAACACGAAGAUACGAGCAGUAGUACCAACUGCAAGAAGAACAGUAGUAAGACACAGUACUAGUACUACUGUACGUACUAAAGAGUUCAAAUAACGAGAAAGAACAUAAACAUGGUUCUGUGGGGCCUCAGCACAACACACCCUUGAAAAUAAACUAAGCAACUAGUCCGCUUGACACUGCAGUAGAACCAGCAUGAGCGACGACACUGCCACCUACUCGGAGUCCGAGUCCACGUCCUCGACUUUGUCCUCGUCCCUCUUCCUCUUCCUCUUCGCUGAUGCUUCUUUGCUUGAACCGGACACUGGGCUCUGCUUCUUCAUCCAACCCUUGUAGAUAUUUAAACAAAGGUAGGCAUCCGUUGCUGCGUACAGGAUGUGAUCUUCAUCUAAUGUCUUCGACUCCCAUGCAUGAUGAAACUCAUGAUGAGGUUUCUUCAGUUUAGCGUACGAAGGAUCAAUCAUGGCUGCUGCCAGGGUCAGCAUUGAAGGUUGAGAGGAGGACACCAAGCUUGCCUUCUGGAGAUCGAAGGGCUGGCCUACAAUGAGACCUAUCUGACGCAGGACAUCCCUGUCGUUCUUACAGCCUACAGUAACGAAUUUCACUCUUUUGUCCUUGAGGAAGUUCUUAAAAUCCUGGCACUCAACGUCGGCAUGGCAUAUGUGGUAGACCAAGAAAACAUUAUGUACGCAAACCUGGAUCACGAUGGGCUUCUUCCUCUCUUCGUCCUUUAGAUCCUUCUCUCGUCCUAGGACUGUGGUGUACUGAACAUCUAGCCCAGCGACCCACUCAUCCGUUGAACUGUUGAACAUGCGUAGGAAGCGAGCAAGCCAUGCUUUCACCGUUGCGGAUCCACAUGUGCAGAUGAUGAUGAACUGAUCGCCGGUGAUGGCUCUAACCUGGUACUCAGUGGCUACCAUGGAUAUUUGGGAGGCCAUGGAUUUUGUAGGAGGGUUAGGAGAAGUUGAACUGUUGUACCCUGCAAAAACUGGGAGCGAACUAAUGUGAAAGGACGGGACGACUGGGAGCGAACUGUUGUGAGGUAGAAGACGGGGACGAGUAGGGCGUGCGAACGGCAUGGGGUUGCUGGCUUGCCCGGUGGAUAAACAGCUGCAAGCCCCCAAAGAGUUCUCGAGAACUAUGCGGGACCCACUAGAUGUCAUGUCUACUAGACCCAUAUUGUAGGCCUGACGGUAUAGCUUCUGCCUGUUCGCACGCCAUGCCAGCGCGUGGAUGUAACUUCACUUAAUUUCGUCAACCGUCGCGCCUCCCACGACCUUCGCCUCCCUCGUGCGGUCGCGCCCUUUGAGACUUCGACCGGCUAUAAAUGAGCAAUUUUUUUGCCUACUCCGCAUGCAUGAUACUCCCUCCGUUUUUAUUUACUCUGCAUAUUAGGGUUGACUGAAGUCAAACUUAGUAAAGUUUGACCAAGUUUGUAGAAAACAAUAUAGACAUUUAUCAUAAUAGAUCUAUACAAUGUCAAAGUACAUUCAAUAAUAAAUCUAAUGUUGUUGAUUUGUCAUUGUAUAUCUUAAUAUUUUUGUUUAUAAACUUGGUCAAAAUUUGUAAAGCUUGACUUUGACCAAAGCUAAUAUGCGAACUAAAUAAAAACGGAGGGAGUACUCCCUCUGGUCCUUUUUACUCCCGUCAACCGUUUGCAAAGUGUUUGACCAAAUUUAUACUUUUUUUUCAACACCACCUUAUAUUAAUUAACCAGCCACACCAGUACACUCAUCCGAUACAAUAUUCACCACACAGGGCGGUACGUUAUUUACAAGAAUACCAUCUAUCUAUUGUCAAAGUGAAAGUGCAACUAUCCCUAGUGGUUUUGGUAAUUCAUAACAACAUAUAGCUCAUUGAGCUAAUGCUAUUCCAAGACUGUUGUUUCAGGAAAGCUCAAUGAAUGGCAUGGCAUGGAUGAUGAAAGUGGAUCCCUCAAAAUACUAAGGACAAAGGAUUGGCUCAAGCUCAAAAGCUCAAGACUCUUCAUUUUACAUUUUAGUGAUCCAAGAUCACAUUGAGUCUAUAGGAAAAGCCAAUACUAUCAAGAAGGGAUGAGGUGUUGCUUAAUGAGCCUCUUGCUUCAUGUGCUUAGCAAUAUGCUCCAAAACUCUCAACUACUUUCCCACAUCCACAAAUGACCUAAACCUAAAGCCAAAAUCGGUCACACCGAUUCUUUCUAUCCGGCGCCACCGAUUCCAAAAGUCAUAGCCACUGCCACAAACCCUAAGCAAAUCGGUCUUACCGAUAGGGAUCUCGGCUCACCGAGAUGGGAUUGUAAUCUCUCUGUUUCCCUUCGUAACGAUUCGGUCUAACCGAAGUGAGCGAUCGGUCCCACCGAGAUUGCAAUGUAAACUCUCUGUUUCCUUUUUGUAACAUUUUGGUCUCACCGAAAAGAGCAAAUCGGUCCCAGCGAGUUUACCUGACCAACUCUCUGGAAAGCUUAUUACCAAAAUCGGUCUUACCGAGUUUGUGUAAUCGUUCUUACCGAGAUUGCAUUAUGCCCUAACCCUAACAGAAUCGGUCUCACCGAGAUGCAUGUCGGUCCCACCGAAAUCACUCACGGUCACUAGGUUUACUAAAUCGGUCAGACCGAGUUUAACUAUUCGGUCCCACCAAGUUUGGUAAAUUGUGUGUAACGGUUGGAUUUCGUGUGGAGGCUAUAUAUACCCCUCCACCUCAUCUUCAUUCGUGGAGAGAGCCAUCAGACUAAACCUACACUUCCAACUUACCAUUUCUGAGAGAGAACCACCUACUCAUGUGUUGAGGCCAAGAUAUUCCAUUCCUACCAUAUGAAUCUUGAUCUGUAGCCUUCCCCAAGUUGCUUUCCACUCAAACCCUCUUUCCACCAGAUCCAAAUCCUAUGAGAGAGAGUUGAGUGUUGGGUAGACUAUCAUUUGAAGCACAAGAGCAAGGAGUUCAUCAUCAACGCACCAUUUGUUACUUCUUGGAGAGUGGUGUCUCCUAGAUUGGCUAGGUGUCACUUGGGAGCCUCCGACAAGAUUGUGGAGUCGAACUAAGGAGUUUGUAAGGGCAAGGAGAUCGCCUACUUCGUGAAGAUCUACCGCUAGUGAGGCAAGUCCUUCGUGGGCGACGGACAUGGUGGGAUAGACAAGGUUGCUUCUUCGUGGACCCUUCGUGGGUGGAGCCCUCCGUGGACUCGCGCAGCCGUUACCCUUCGUGGGUUGAAGUCUCCAUCAACGUGGAUGUACGAUAGCACCACCUAUCGGAACCACGCCAAAAACAUCUGUGUCUCCAAUUGCGUUUGAAUCCUCCAAACCCUUCCCUUUACUUUCUUGCAAGUUGCAUGCUUUAAUUUCCGCUGCCUAUACACUCUUUGCAUGCUUGCUUGAAUUGUGUGAUGAUUGCUUGACUUGUCCUAAAAUAGCUAAAAUCUGCCAAACUCUAAAAUUGGGAAAAGGUUAAGUCUUUAUUGGUCAUGUAGUCUAAUCACCCCCCCCCCUCUAGACAUACUUCAAGGUCCUACACAAAGCUAUACUUAGCAAUUAAGUGUGCCACCUUAUUGGCCGAAUGGAUGUGCUCCAAAGUCAGCUUGACAAGUUCAAAAUGAAGGAUGGUGAAGGUGUCGCUGAAAUGUACUCUAGGCUUGCUCUUAUCACAAAUGAGAUUGCCGGCUUAGGGAGUGAAGAGAUGACUGACAAAUUCAUCAUCAAGAAAAUCCUAAAAGCACUAUAUGGAAAGUAUGAUACCAUGUGCACAUUGAUCCAAAUGAUGCCAAACUACAAAGAUCUCAAGCCAACGGAAGUCAUUGGAAGGAUUGUUGCUCAUGAUAUGUCACUCAAGGAUAAGGAGGAACUUCACAACAAGUCAAGUGGUGCUUACAAAGUCUCAAGUGAAGCCCCCACAUCAUCAAGUGAUAAACAAACCUUCAAUGAAUAAUUGAGCUUAAUGGUGAAGAACUUCAACAAAUUCUACAAGAGUAGAAGCAAAGAAAGAAGCUCCAAGUCAAGGUCUUACAAUGACAAGAGAUCUUAUAGAUAGGUCCACGAGUUGAGACAGAGAAGUUCUAACUAAUCAAGUCGAGAGCGCAAUUGCUACAAUUGUGGGAGGCCUGGACACUACUCCAAUGAGUGUACGGCACCCUACAAAAGAAGAGAAGAUUCUCCAAGAAGAAGGAGCAAAAGAGAAGAAUCACCACCAAGAGAGAGGAGGAGUAGAGAUGAUCGUUAUGAACGAAGACCCUCACGGAGAAGCAAGGAUUAGGAAAGGAAGGACAAGUCAUCAAGGAGCUACACAAAACGAAGACAUCAAGCUCAUGUUGGUGAAUGGGUUUCCGGCUCCGACUCCGACAAACACUCCGAGAGAAGCUAUCACUCCGACUCCGAAUAUACUCAAGAUGAAGGUGUUGCCGGUCUAGCACUUGUGUCAACCAACUCCUACGACAUAUUUGAUUCACCAAAUGAAAGAAUUGGAAGAUGCUUCAUGGCCAAAGGUCCAAAGGUAACACAUCCCGAGUAUGUUGAUUUUAAUGGUGAUGAAGAUGACUUGCUUGUGGAUGAUAAUUUACUUGUUGACAACUCUAGUGAUGAAUACUAUGAUGAAACGUCAAUUAAUCAUGCUAAUCAAACGAAUGACAAUGAUAAGGAGAAAAUUGAUCUUCUAACUAAAGAACUAAACACUCUUAAGUUGGCUCAUGAAACUAUCUUCGAAGAUCAUCGAGAACUUUUAAGGGCUCAUGAGAAGUUACACUUUGAAAAGCUCAAUCUUGAGCAAGAGCAUGAGUUCUUAAAGGCAAUUGAUGAUGAUCUCCGCAAGAAAAGUUCUUCUUACAUUGCCAAGCGUUUACUCUUAUCUACUUACAUGCCUCAAGUCAAGUGUAGUAACAAGUACAAGAAAGAUACUUCCUCUAGUAGUAACAAUAAUAAUGUUAAAUCCAAUAUUGUUGCUUCUAGUAGUUCUCUUGACUCCACUAAUGAUUCUCUUAGCCAAGUUACACUUGAGCAAGAAAAUAGUUUAUUGAAGGGAAUUAUAGAGAAAGGUGUUUACAAGAGCCUUGCCGGGAGUAAGCAAUUCGAGGAAAUUGUACGCAAGGAAGGCACUGGAAGAAUCAAGGUGUUGGUUUUGAACGAAAGUUCAACGCCAAUGGAGUUGAGUGGGAAGAAGAUCAAUACCCCAAGACAAAGUUUGUUCCUCAACAAGAGAAGUAUGAUCCUACUUCCUUCAAGGGGACACAAGCUCAAGAUGAUCUUCCACCACAAGACCACAAGAACAAAGGCAAGGACAAGCUUCAAGAAGAGAUUGAUGCAUUUGAAGAAGCACCUAAAGCCUCGUUCAAGUGGGUCCCCAAGACUACGUCAAGUUCUACUUCAUUAAGUACAACUACAACUCCAAGGAUUCCCAUCAAGAUUAUGUGGAUCCCGAAGAAGAAGAACUAGAGAGUUCUUGAGAGUGACUCCGCCAACAUUCUUCACUCAUAUCAUUUUGGCAAGAACAAGUGCAAUCAACCUUCACAUCUUGCACUAGUUCAAGGAGUCACAAACUUGGUAAGGCAAGGGACAAGGUAACCUAAUGUUUUCAUGGAAAUCAUCUUGUGUGUGCAUCACUCUAUGUCUAUGGAUAUUCUUGUUUGUUGCUUGUGGGACUAACCCAUGUAGGUAAGUUGAAAGUGCAACUCACUCCAAAGGAUUGCUCCAAAUGAUCUACAUCAACAUUGAGCAUCUACAUCUUCAACACCUACAUGAAGUCAUCAUCGUAAAAACCCAAGGUUAGUUCAUCCCUCUAAGGGGGGAUCUCACAUCUAGGGGGAGCUUAACUCUAAGAAUUAGGUCAAAGCAACUCUAAUGGUGUGAACACAUUAAUGCAUUAUGUAAAAGUGGUAACCCCACUUGAGCUUAAACGAUGAGUAUGACCUAUGAUCAAAUGUUCUCAUUUGACUCCUAAGUCAAUAUACUCAUAUAUAGAUGACCUAGUCAUCGCCAAUUGUUUGAUAGAUGCUAGAAUUGGUUGUGCAUGCUUUGCCACAUAUUUUGAUUGCCAUCUUAUUGUGUGAGCAUGUUGGUGCAUAUUUUACUCAUUCAAGGACAUCCACUUGUUGUUUUGAUUGUUUGGUUCUUUUCUUUGUGCCAAAUGGAUGGAAAAGAAUGCCUAAGAACCUUCUUUAGCUAUCUAUGAUUUUCUGUUCUCAAACUCUAUUCAUGCUACAUCACAAAAUUUGAUCAAGUCAGAUUCGAACCACUCUGCGUGAGGAGCACUCGGAGUCCCCGAUUCGUCAUAGACUUAAACUUCCAAAACCUCUUAGUGAUUCUCGGUCUGACCGAUCCUUCCAUUUUGGUCCUACCGAGAUCAUCAAGUUGAUCUGAGUUUUCAAUCUUGGUGCAACCGAUUUGAACUUUUCGGUCUCACCGAUUUGCUGUAACUGAACACAGUCAUGCAUCUCGGUGCCACCGAGUUGUUCCACUCGGUCACACCGAUAGGGUCGGGCUAUAUAUAUAGCCACGGGCAAAAUUUUGGAAAUUUCUCCGAAACCCUUCGCCCGCGCAAUAGCUCGGUCUGCCAUCAUGGUCUCCGGAUCGUCUCCUCGUCGCCAGCAGCCUCCUGUCGCUGGUCUUCGCCGCAGUCAACGGAUUUCAUCCCCGCCUUUGCCGCCGUAGCAAGUCCACCGCCAAGUUAGGGUAUGGACUUGAUCUUUGUGCUAUCCAUGUCUGAUUCCUAGCACAUUGUCUUCAUAUUGAUUCUUGCCACAAUUGAAACCCUUCUAUCCAGCCAAAGUAGUUCAUAGAUUAGAUGUGAUUCGAAUUUUUAGGUUUAGGUUUCCGCCGAAACCAUCUCGGACCCACCGAGUUGAAAAACUCGGUCUCACCGAUUUGGCUUAUGCCAUUGCACUAGUGACUCUCGGUCUGACCGAGAAUUACUAAUCGGUGCAACCGAUUUGAGGAUUCUGUGAAACCCUAGCAGUCUCGGUACCACCAAACUGAAACUCGUUCCAACUGAGAUCAUCAGUUUAGGUUCCAAAACUGCUUCGGUAUCACCGAGUUUGAAAAUCGGUGGAUCCGAAAUACUUUCUGAGGAAAACUAAAACUGAACUUUUGAGUCAUUCUUUUGCAAAAACCUCUGCAUUUUGUGAUGCUCAUCUUUUCUAUCUCAUCUAUAACUCUUCACAAGGUCAGCAGUCAGCUUUUGCAGUAUGUCUGAUCAAAGUGACAGCCAGAACAGGCCAGAAGAGCAGAUGGACUUGAGUCAGGGCACUAGUCCCUCCAGUACUUCAGAUGAAGGGAGUAGAAGUACUCCUAGCAAUUUUCCUAAGGCUGCAACUAGGCAAAGGAGGAAAAGAACUUCAGAUUCAGAGGAUGAAGACUACAAGGCUGAGGAAGAUGAGGCUACUUCCAAGAAAGUGGUGCUCAAGAAGGAAUAUGGCUCAGCAAAGGAUAUAAAGCCAGGCAUGAAGAUUAAAAGGCCUGCAAGAAGGCAACCUAUGCCCAAGGCCAGAGCAUCAACUCAACUGCCUGAAAAUCCUAAUCCCAAAGAGCCAGUUGAUGAAAGCAAGAAGAGGAAGGAAAGGGUCAAGAAGACCAUGGCCAGAGUUGUUGGGCAACCUUCCAUGAUGGAAGAGGAAGAGCUUGCUGCACCAGCACCAAAGGUACCUAAGCUUAUGGGUGAUGCAAUCAGAUCAGGGGCUGCAACAUCUAAGCCCAAGGAAGCACCCAAAGCUGCCCCCAAGGCCAAGUCUGUUCCAAAGAGGAAUUCCAGGAGUAUUCCAGCUGCUGACAAGAACAAGGCCCAGUGUCCAAUGUUGCUGAGGAGGAAGAUGAAGAAGGACAGGUUCUAAGGAACCUCAAGCCCAAGAUACCAGACCACAAUGAUUCCCAUCGUGUGGCUGAGGACAUGAAAAUCAGGAUGGAUUCAGGCUUGAGACUGUGGAGAAUGGCAGAUCCAUAUGCCACAAGGAGAAGAACUGUUGUUGAUUACAGGUUCCAUACAAAGGAACAGCAGGACUUCUAUGAGACAAUCUUAUUGGACAAGAAGCCCAUAGUUUGUGACAUGAGGUGGGUUGACUGGAAAUUCAUCAAGGAGAAUGAACAGCCCUAUCCUAGAGUGCAAGACAACUUUAUUGCUUGUGGAGUGGCAGAUUUUGUUGGACAAAAGCUCACAAAUUGGAAUGAUGAACUUAUCAUGCAAUUCUACUCCACAGCACAUUUUUACCCAGAUGGUAGAAUUGUUUGGAUGUCUGAAGGUACAAGGUACCAGUCCACUGUAGAAGAAUGGGCAAGUCUGAUCAAUGCCCCAAAGGAAAAUGAUGAUGUUCUGGACAUUUAUGCAAAGAAGAAGAUGGGACACAAUACCAUGGCUCACAUGUACAAGGAGAUCCUAGACAAAGCCCUAGAGACUUUCUCUUUUGGAUCAGUCCACUUUCUGUUGUCAGGGCUGGCUACUAUCAAUUGGAUUCUAAGGCACACUCUGUUGCCCAAGUCUGGUGACCAUAACAUGAUCAGAGGGCAUGCCAUCAAUAUGUUGCAUUUAUUUAAUGUGCCACAAAAAUUCAAAGUCAUGAGCCUUAUAGUUGAAACAAUCAAGAGGACUGCAGCAGAUCAGAAGAGGAGCUGUGGAUAUGCACCUCAGAUUCAGGAAUUGAUCAACUCAAAGAUGGGAACUGGCAAAUAUCAGUUGGAUAAGGAACACUUUCCACUUUAUCCAGACUUUGAGGACAAUGAGGUUGUCAUGAAUGAAGAUGAUCCAUCAUCAGUCCAAGCUCAGGAGAAGAAAGAAAAGGCAAGGAAGGAGAAGGCUUCCAAGAUGCCAACUCAAGAGGAGGCAUCUGAAUAUUUCUUGAAAACCAAACAGGAGCAGCUUGGUUACUUGAUAGCAUCAUCUUUGAGGAUUGAGAAGGGGUUGGCCACCCUAACUCAAAACUAGGAGAGCCUGGAAAGAAUCAUGGAACAAAAAUUCUAUGAUCUAGAUGUCAAGGUAACUGAGAUUCAGUCAGUUGUGGAGCAGCUGCAGGAUGACAUGCAGGAGAGGAAGGGCAAGACUGCCACCAAUGUGUUUGCCAGAGUGCCCAGAGCCCAAAGGUGAGUUGCAGUGCCAGUGACAGACACUAGAGCAACAACUUCAGCACCAGCCACUGCCCCUUCAGCUCCAGUGCAACCAGCUUCAGCAUCAACUCCAGCACCCUCUACGUCAACUGAAUCCUUCGUCCUUGGAGUCAUCAGGACACCACCACCAGAAGAUCAAGCCUGAGAGUCGAUCUAGAACUAUGCAUUUUCUAUGAACUUUUUGGUAACUUGUUGCCAAAGGGGGAGAAAAAUGUAUAGAUCAUAGGCUGAGAGAGAGAGAGAGAGUUGCUUUUGUUCUCUCUUGCUUUUGGUGUGUUUAUCUUUGUUUGCUUUUGGUUGAGAUACUAUGCUUGUGAGACAUUGAUGAUCAUGUGUUUGAUCAUAAGCUACACUUAUGCAUGCUUGAUAUUAUCUUAUCUAUCUUAUGUGAUCACUCACUAUGCUUGGUGAUGAGUGCAUGUAUUCAUUGUUUAUUAUUUUGAGCGCUCCACCAAGAUGUAUGUGACAUGGAAGAGUAACCCAUGAGCCUAAUUCAUUGUGCAUUUGCAGUCCAAAGCAAAUCUAAAACUAUGCACAAAUUUAGGGGGAGCUCUUGCUUAUCACAUACUUCUCAAAGCGGCGAUGUUAUUUAAAUGUUAUUAUCAUUUGUCGAAGCUUUGAUCUAUAUGUUGUCAUCAAUUACCAAAAAGGGGGAGAUUGAAAGUGCAACUAUCCCUAGGUGGUUUUGGUAAUUCAUAACAACAUAUAGCUCAUUGAGCUAAUGCUAUUCCAAGACUGUUGUUUCAGGAAAGCUCAAUGAAUGGCAUGGCAUGGAUGAUGAAAGUGGAUCCCUCAAAAUACUAAGGACAAAGGAUUGGCUCAAGCUCAAAAGCUCAAGACUCUUCAUUUUACAUUUUAGUGAUCCAAGAUCACAUUGAGUCUAUAGGAAAAGCCAAUACUAUCAAGAAGGGAUGAGGUAUUGCUUAAUGAGCCUCUUGCUUCAUGUGCUUAGUGAUAUGCUCCAAAACCCUCAACUACUUUCCCACAUCCACAAAUGACCUAAACCUAAAGCCAAAAUCGGUCACACCGAUUCUUUCUAUCCGGCGCCACCGAUUCCAAAAGUCAUAGCCACUGCCACAAACCCUAAGCAAAUCGGUCUUACUGAUAGGGAUCUCGGUCUCACCGAGAUGGGAUUGUAAUCUCUCUGUUCCCUUCGUAACGUUUCGGUCUAACCGAAGUGAGCGAUCGGUCCCACCGAGAUUGCAAUGUAAACUCUCUGUUUCCUUUUUGUAACAUUUCGGUCUCACUGAAAAGAGCAAAUCGGUCCCACCGAGUUUACCUGACCAACUCUCUGGAAAGCUUAUUACCAAAAUCGGUCUUACCGAGUUUAUGUAAUCGGUCUUACCGAGAUUACGUUAUGCCCUAACCCUAACAGAAUCGGUCUCACCGAGAUGCAUGUCGGUCCCAUCGAAAAUCACUAACGGUCACUAGGUUUACUAAAUCGGUCAGACCGAGUUUAACUAUUCGGUCCCACCAAGUUUGGUAAAUUGUGUGUAACGGUUGGAUUUCAUGUGGAGGCUAUAUAUACCCCUCCACCUCCUCUUCAUUCGUGGAGAGAACCAUCAGACUAAACCUACACUUCCAACUUACCAUUUCUAAGAGAGAACCACCUACUCAUGUGUUGAGGCCAAGAUAUUUCAUUCCUACCAUAUGAAUCUUGAUCUCUAGCCUUCCCCAAGUUUCUUUCCACUCAAACCCUCUUUCCACCAGAUCCAAAUCCUAUGAGAGAGAGUUGAGUGUUCGGGAGACUAUCAUUUGAAGCACAAGAGCAAGGAGUUCAUCAUCAACGCACCAUUUGUUACUUCUUGGAGAGUGGUGUCUCCUAGAUUGGCUAGGUGUCACUUGGGAGCCUCCGACAAGAUUGUGGAGUUGAACCAAGGAGUUUGUAAGGGCAAGGAGAUCGCCUACUUCGUGAAGAUCUACCGCUAGUGAGGCAAGUCCUUCGUGGGCGACGGCCAUGGUGGGAUAGACAAGGUUGCUUCUUCGUGGACCCUUCGUGGGUGGAGCCCUCCGUGGACUCGCGCAGCCGUUACCCUUCGUGGGUUGAAGUCUCCAUCAACGUGGAUGUACGAUAGCACCACCUAUCGGAACCACGCCAAAAACAUCCAUGUCUCCAAUUGCGUUUGAAUCCUCCAAACCCUUCCCUUUACUUUCUUGCAAGUUGCAUGCUUUAAUUUCUGCUGCCUAUACACUCUUUGCAUGCUUGCUUGAAUUGUGCGAUGAUUGCUUGACUUGUCCUAAAAUAGCUAAAAUCUGCCAAACUCUAAAAUUGGGAAAAGGUUAAGUCUUUAUUGGUCAAGUAGUCUAAUCACCCCCCCUCUAGACAAACUUCAAGGUCCUACACAAAGCUAUACUUAGCGAUUAAGUGUGCCACCUUAUUGGUCGAACGGAUGUGCUCUAAAGUUAGCUUGACAAGUUCAAAAUGAAGGAUGGUGAAGGUGUCGCUGAAAUGUACUCUAGGCUUGCUCUUAUCACAAAUGAGAUUGUCGGCUUAGGGAGUGAAGAGAUGACCGACAAAUUCAUCAUCAAGAAAAUCCUAAGAGCAUUGGAUGGAAAGUACGAUACCGUGUGCACAUUGAUCCAAAUGAUGCCAAACUACAAAGAUCUCAAGCCAACGGAAGUCAUUGGAAGGAUUGUUGCUCAUGAGAUGUCACUCAAGGAUAAGGAGGAACUUCACAACAAGUCAAGUGGUGCUUACAAAGCCUCAAGUGAAGCCCCCACAUCAUCAAGUGAGAAACAAACCUUCAAUGAAGAAUUGAGCUUAAUGGUGAAGAACUUCAACAAAUUCUACAAGAGUAGAAGCAAAGAAAGAAGCUCCAAGUCAAGGUCUUACAAUGACAAGAGAUCUUCUAGUCGAGAGCGCAAUUGCUACAAUUGUGGGAGGCCUGGACACUACUCCAAUGAGUGUACGACACCCUACAAAAGAAGAGAAGAUUCUCCAACAAGAAGGAGCAAAAGAGAAGAAUCACCACCAAGAGAGAGGAGGAGUAGAGAUGAUCGUUAUGAACGAAGACCCUCACGGAGAAGCAAGGAUUAGGAAAGGAAGGACAAGUCAUCAAGGAGCUACACAAAACGAAGACAUCAAGCUCAUGUUGGUGAAUGGGUUUCCGGCUCCGACUCCGACAAACACUCCGAGAGAAGCUAUCACUCCGACUCCGAAUAUACUCAAGAUGAAGGUGUUGCCGGUCUAGCACUUGUGUCAACCAACUCCUACGACGUAUUUGAUUCACCAAAUGAAGGAAUUGGAAGAUGCUUCAUGGCCAAAGGUCCAAAGGUAACACAUCCCGAGUAUGUUGAUUUUAAUGGUGAUGAAGAUGACUUGCUUGUGGAUGAUAAUUUACUUGUUGACAACUCUAGUGAUGAAUACUAUGAUGAAACAUCAAUUAAUCAUGCUAAUCAAACGAAUGACAAUGAUAAGGAGAAAAUUGAGCCUCUAACUAAAGAACUAAACACGUCGGUGUUUCGCUCCUCGCCGCUACGCGACGUGUCACCGUUCCGUUCCUCGCCGCCACUAGUCGAGGAGGAUGCGUCGGUGUUCCGCUCCUUGUCGCGACGCGACGCGUCGCCGUUCCAUUCCUCGCCGCCACUAGUUGAGGAGGACGCGUCGGUGUUCCUCUCCUCGCCGCGAUGCAUCGAGGUGGAUGCGUCGGUGUUCCCAAUCUCUCUAGCACGUGCGUCGGAGGACGUGUCGACUCCCCGCUACGAGGAGAACGCCGCGCCGCCCGUAGAGCCUCCCAACCUUGAGGAGCUUUGGAAAGAAAUGGAUGUCGCCUUGUGGGAGGCUUUGCCUCUAGUAGAGCGCGCCAAAAUAGAGGCGGAGAAGAAGGCCGGGGAAGAGAAGCGCACCGUGGAACAAGCUGCCUGGGAGGCCUAUGUCGCGUCCGAGAGAGUCUGGCAAUUGGCUCUUUGGCAGAAGGCUCGUGCGAGGGCCGUGAGGGUGGCGGAGGACGCCCGUGCCGACGGUCUGAGUGCUGUCGGGCCCAAGUGCCUCAUCUACGCUUGGUGGUACGUGGACCGAGUGCACGCUUCCAGCGAGGAGGAGUACCUGUUGGCGCCGGAUCACCACACCGGUGAGAUCGCGCUCGCCCGCCAGCAAGCCGCCAAUCAGCACCUCGCGAGUUGCGAGGCUGAGGAAGAGGCGUUGUCUCGGUGCGCUGGGAAACGUCCGCGCACCAGGGCACUCGUGGCGCGCCGCAAGCGCUCCUGCGAGCGCCGUGGCUUUUAGGAGGAGUAUAAUUUUCGUUUCGUAAGGCAAUCACAUUAGUUUUGGGACGCAAAUGAUAAAUCCUGAAUGUUCAGGAAUUUUUAGCGUCCUUAAUUUAGUAUGUAAAAGGGAAAGUUUGGAAACCUUGUGUAUUCGUACGCAUUUUGCAAGUACGUGCAUAUAGCACAAACUUUACUAUAUACUAUCGAACUACACGUCGCUCUCGAUAUAUGCUUGCAGACUGUGCUACUCCCUCCGUCCAGGUCAAUAAGUCAUCUUUGGUUGUGCACCGUGACCAAGAAGGAGGGAAGACUUGUACACCUAGAUAGAGGGAGUACUACUAUUACUUAUGUACGUGCAAAUGCACGUUUUAACAUUACGAUGCGGUUUUUGUAAAAGAAGAAAAACAGCACUAGUCAAGCUUGUGAAACGAUUCAAUGCAAAACAAAUGCAAAAAUGCUCGUUUGAUUGUUUACUUUUAGCUUCCUUCUCUGUGGUUAUUUCUCUGUCGUACUUUGUACGGAGUAUCUCACUGGUUGGAAAGGCAUGCAAAUUCCCAAACCGCUUCCUACACCCUGUAUCGAACUUUUUGCCUAACAAGUUGUGUCGUGCAAUUGGAAUUCCAACUUGAGUACUACUACUAGUAGGAGUACCAGGGGCCAGUUCUUUUAGGCUUCUAGAUUAGUAAUCCCAUAACUACUACCUCUGUCCUGGUUUAUUGGUCCCCAUUGUAAUCUGUGUCAAAUUUUGAUCAUAAAUUUAACUAAUGAAAUGUUAGUGCAUGUCACAUGCACUACUCCAUCCGUCUAGGUGAGUAAGUCAUCUUAGGCUGUGCACUGUGACCAAGGAGGAGGAGAAAACGAGAAACGUUAAUGUUUAUUUGCAAAUUAAUAGUAUUGCAUGCAAUGAACUAACCACUGCAUGUUGUGUUUGAUAUCUCAAGUCAUUAAAAGCAUGCACACUCUUUAUCUCUUAUUGGUUGAUAUGUCAAGAAACAAGAAACGAGGUAGAAGUUACUGCACCGCGCCUAAGUGUUUUGGUAUUAUUUGGUUUUCGUAAGAUGACUUACACACCUAGACGGAGGGAGUAACAUUUUAUCAGUUAAAUCUUUGGUCAAAAUUUAGCACAAAUUACAAUGGUGAGGAAUAAACCAGGAUGGAGUAGUAGUUUAGAAGCCCAAAUAAAUGAGUGAGGUGCAUUAUUGUUACUCUCCACUGUGACUAAUCUUGUGGGAAAAGCUGAGGAAGCCGCCAAAAGAACUGGCCCUAGGAGUAGUAGCUAGGGAUCGAGUGUGCGAGAUGAACCGGAGAAAGUAAAUGCAGAGAGAUGAAAUGCAAAAAAGACGGAGGGAUGUGAUGGUUGCUUGUCUGUUUAUUUUACCAGACCACUUAUUACUCGGAGUGGUUGGGUUUUGUGAUAUAUCGGCUUUACUACCGCGCCACGAGCGGCGUGAGAGGUGAGACUCCCGUGCAGCACCGCCCUCUACACUGGUACUACAUAGGUCGUGGUUUAUUAGUCCCCCAUUGAAUUUGACUGAAGAUUUAACUGACAAAAUGUUAGUGCAUGUCAACCAGAACUAUAUCGUUGGAUUCGUAUUUGAACAUAGUUUUGAAUGAUAUAAUUUUAGGUGACAUGCAUCAGCAUUUAUCGUACUAUAUAUAAUGUUAGUUCAAUUUUUGGUCGUACUAAUCUAUAGUAGUAAGGUGCCCGUGUGUUGUACCGAAGAGUGAAAUGCAUUGAUCGGGGAGUUGUUUAUUUUGACAAAGGAUAUGGGGGUCAUCUCAUGUGUAACGGGUAUCGAUAGGUUUCUUCAGAUAUUAUUUCAUCUCUAGAGCUCACAAACAUCCGAGUGAAAUAGAUAAAAAGGUAUCUUUUGCAAACAAAAGUGUUCAACUGUUCAACCUGCAUCCAAAACUUGUGAAGAAAUAACACUUAUUGUGCUUUGCAAGAAAUGAUCUUUAAGAAUUAGUUUUUCAGUAUCGAUUGUUAUACAUGUUGGCUACAGAUGACAUGGCACUUUCUUAUAGUCAUCAGUUGGCUAUACUAUUAAGUAAUAUUAACCAUGCCCUUAUACACCUAGACGGAGGGAUUAAAUCAGGAUGACUUGCAAGGGGGCAGAGGAGAUGUAAGAAAUGGUUCAUCGUAAGUCUUUCACGAGUAUUGUAGUAAAACUUCAUGCAUGGAAGAUUCUAGACUAAACCAUAAACGGAUACACUUUUAUUCAUGUGCGAUACUCCAAUAGAGCAAGAUCCUGCAUGGAAGUCUCCACAUGCUUAGACUGCGGAUUACAUUAAGCGAAGACUAAUGAUCAACAUUUAACUUGAUAAUGCGUAUGUCCAGGUGAACCUCCUUGGAGUCCCCGUGCACCGCGUCGGCGGGUAAAGGAUGCCAUGGGUUUUCCAAGUCCACAUUGGCGGGAUAGUCCCAGCUCCCCAGAGUCCAAGUCCGUUCGAUGAGGUUGGUGUCGCAGCCCACGCGACCCGAAGGGGUAGUAACACUGACCACGCACCCGUACAUCGGCCUCGUGUCAGUGUCAACGUCAGCGGCGUCGCCCCUGACGCACAUUACAGAGACGGGGCGGCGGCCUGCGCGGGCCUCGCCGGUGCCCACAAUCAAGAGGAAGACGUUGCCGUCCUCCUCUGAGACUAGCAGGCGGCGGUGAUCCUCCAGCGACUCCGGCAUGGUGAACGGGUAGCACGUCUCGUACUUGAUGUUCUCCUCCAAGGGCCAGCAGUGACUGCUGCAUGCAUCCGUGAGGUGAUGCACCAUGUCCGCCGGCUAGCCACAAAACAGCAUCGGGCACUCAUAGCAGUGGACGAAGGGCUCCUUCGAGGCAUCGACCAGGCCAUCCAUGAAACGGGAGUGGCUGUAGGGGACGUUGCGCCAGUUGAAUAUAAGAGCAAGUUACUACGAGAUUUAAUCUGAAUAAGCACAAAAUAAAUCAUGGCGGCUAUAACAGAGAUGAAACUAGUCAUGUGGACUAGCAUAGUAGUAUGAUACAGAGUAGAAACAUGAAUUCUACCACGAUUUCAAAUAGGAAGGACAGAAACACAUACGGUGCAACGGUAGCAGCACCGUUGGCAUUGAGGUUGUCGCCCAUGUCGUUGAGGAAGAGGUUGCCGAGGUCGGGGAAGAAGCCGUCGUCGGUGAAGUCGUGGCUGCCAGCAGUCGCGAGAGUGCGCUCCCCAAAUUUCAACAGCGCCCGCCGAAUGUAGCGCGGGAGGGAGUGGCUGUAGGGGAUGUUGCGGCCGCCGAAUGGAGCGCAGGAGUAGUACACGAAGCAGUAGAUGGUGUCCUUACAAGUACUCCCUAGUCUCUAUCUAUCUAUAUCUACUCUUAUCUACUCUUACAGAAAACCGAGUUGGUGAUGAUGGUAUGCCUGCCAUCUUGUAAUAUAGACCGUGCGAUCUAUAUCUGAUGGAUAGAAAGCCAACUAUGACAAUUUUACAAAAUAUACCCGCACCUCUCUCCACAUUUACAAAUAAGGCCUUGCCUCGUUCAUCCUUAUCUCCCACAACCUCGUGCUCCUCCCUAUGUCUCUAUCUCUACUACUCUUCUUUGUUUUUUAUAACAAAUUGAAUAGUGUUGUGCCGUUCGCUACACACCCGGUUGAACACGCCUCCUCGCCUCCAUCAUCACCAACUGAGUCUUUUAUAGGAGUAGGAGUAGAGAAAACCCGAGUUGGUGAUGAUGGUGUGCCGUGCAAUGCAUGCGCAUCUUGCUAUUUUUUUGCAUAUAAGUCCAAACACCACGUAGACACGGUCUUUGAGCACGGUUCGUAGUCAUUCCACACUCGGGCAUUGAAGUUUGUAACUAUUUUAGAUUAGAAUAUACUACUCCUCCGGUGCUAGUAGUAGAGCAGAGUCCUACUCUACUACUCUACUCAAGCAAGUUAGGGCAUAGUACUGUAGUAGGUACUGUAGGGAGUACCAGUACUGUGAUCACACAAGCAAGUUGUCUGGCAUCGACAUGACCCUACGCUGCUGGUAUGUGUCUCGUAAGUCAAGCGGCGUGUUGUAGUCAUCAUCACCUGUCCACUUCCCGCAGCACAUAUUCGCUUCUUCAUCUUUGUCCACACAUAAUCUCGUCCAAUCUUCCAUCCCUGCUAAGGCGCCUCCCCCCUCGUCCAAAACGCAAGCACUAACAAUGGCAGAACCGAGCAGCGUCCGCCGAAAGAGUGGCUGGAAUUUGCUCCCCACAGAGGUAAUCAAGCUCAUUGUUUCACGUGUGGACAAUCUCAGUACCAUGUCGCUCGACGCGUGCUCGUCGGGGUUGUACCGUUUACUCAAAGCCCUCGGGCCGGAGCUUUUUAAGCCAGCUCCUUGCUUGCUGAUGCCGCCUGAUCUUCAGAAACGGCGUGUCACGCAGCAUAACAAUCAUAGGGUGGCGAGCAUCAACCCCCUUGAUGGUGAUCCGAUCCCCGUCAGCCUCAACUACAUUAACGGUAUGUACUGGGUCGACAUGAACACGUCUUGGAUGGUGCUCGUCGAUGGUCGCGGCAGCUGGAUGCUCAUGGAGGUUUACACCCAGCGAUUGAUCCCCCUUCCUUCGAUUAACACUGCACUACUUUGGCACCGUGGCCUAGAAUACUCGGAAUCUUACAGUAGCCAACAUGAUACCAAGUUUGAUUUGCUCAAGGUUGUAAUCUGCCAAGUGCCCACAAGAUCUGCGAAUUAUAAAGACUUCAGGCUAAUUGCGUUCUUCAACCGCGGUCUCGCCUAUCUGACAGGUCACUGCGGUAAGUGGAUAAAUCUGCACGUCCAUCACAGGAUCAUACAUCCUCCACGGUUAUCUGAUGCCAUUGAACUAAAGGGCUUCAUUUACGUUGUCGACUCCUUCUAUGGCUGGACGUAUUGCUGGCCUACUCCAGUCAUCGCUACAAACGGCUGUUACAACAGUAUGUUACUUUCCUAUGAUAUCAUGAUAGCUUGCUUAUAUUACUGUCAACAUUUACUAAAAAAAUAUUCAUACUCAUAACAUGUUGUUCAUAAGAUUGACUAAAUCAAGAGCCCUUUUUUAUUUGACUCCAACUUGAUAUGAUGUUGUAGGCCGCCUGGUGUCCCUACCCUUCCUAAUCCCAGAACCUUUCAAAGAAAAGCGGCAUGCCAGUUGCAAGUGGUUCCUGACUCGAUCAGACGACGGCGAAAGAUUGAUGAUCGUUCGCACGUACCGGACGUGUUGUUUCGCGGAAUACAAUCACAGUCACUGCAAGGUCUUUGAGCAGGAUCCCGGCUUCUCUGGGCCUUCAGGAAUUUUUUACUGGAGGCUGGUAAGUAGCCUUGGUACACGCUCUCUAUUUGUCGGACUGAAUUAUCCGAUUAACCAGGAGAUAACCGACGGCAAGGAUCAUGAUGGCAGAGCGGUUUCGUUCAUCAGGCAAAACUGUGAGUACACAGUGUACCAUGCGUCUCUGCAUGCACCAACCCUGAUAUGUGCCGCCACGCUCUGCAGCCCAAAGUAGGAGAGAGGGUCGCAAGUAUCAGACUUCGACCUGCUGGCUGGAGUUUCCCCCGUCAGGCACCCAUCUGGUUCAAGCCGUCAGCCAAUCUCCAUAGCUUAAUAAAUAGUAACGUCUAACUGAGCCAGUUAGUUAGAUGCGUACACUUGUGUAGUAGGAUCUUUAUUUAGUUUGAUGCAUACACUUGUUCUUUAUUGGUAGCCCUUUGUAAUGAUGGAUGAUGUUUGGUUUGGAAGAGAGAGUUGCUUCUUCACUCUUCUGGCCUGCUUACUGCUUCUGUUGCAUCCUCAGCCCUGGUUGCUGCUGCUGCUAUUUUCAAUGUACAAUCAGUAGUAUAUUUCAUCUGUUGGUUGAAUAAAUGUGUUGUUAGAAUGACAAACACAAUGUUUUGGAAGUCUUUGCACGGGUUCGAUCCUUUAGUGCCCCGUACCGUACGUAGCUCAUACUAUUUUUCAUACGGAACACAUUUUCCACUUGUUGAUAAUAUGCAGCCCACUGAUGAAGGCCCAAUAGAGAAGCCCAUAAUUAACUGGAAGGGAGGCUCUCACAUGAAUCCGGCCCAGGUACAUGCUCAUGGUCCCCUAAACAUAAAUAAGUAAAUAAAUAAAUAAAGCUAAAUGCUGAUGCACCAGUUCUUUGGGAAAAUAAGUAGCCCAGUAUUUCUUUUUGAAGAAUACCCAAGCUAGGCCUAUUUGUUUUCUCUAAAUUGCCGGGCUGCAAAUCUUUCAAGACGAUGAGGGAUGCAUUCUGUCCUGGCCAAAGACUAUGGUCAAUGUCUGUUAAAAGUAAUAUCGAAAGGGGUUGAAAAAUCCAAAAAAAUUAUAGCAAAUGGGAUAUUAGUUUCUUUUUUUGUUUUUGUUCUUCACUGAUAUCUUAUACGUAUUUCAUUGGAUUUAACAUGACAUAGUACAAAUUUAUUUUUAAAUUUGCUUUAGUAUGGCUAUUAAUUUUUGGAUUAAGAAUAUUUCGUUCCCCAGCAAAAAAAAUUCGAAUUUUCAAAAUUUCCCACAUAUUUAGUUAAUUUUUUGACCCUGGUACUGACCAGAAAAUGGCCAACAAUUCUAAAAAUGGAAAACGGGCUGCAAUAAAUUCCAUAUGAAUUAGAAAAUGAGUAAAAAUUAUAAAAAUAAUAGCAAAUGGGAUGUACACGCCACAAAUUUCGAGGCUGACUUGUUUACGCAAGGCUUUGUCAGUGAACACACGAUUCUAGCAGUAGUGACUGUUGGAUGUCCAUCCAACGGCUGACGUGCAUCUUCAAUCUCUAAUCUUCCUGCUCCAGCCGCCUAAACUAGCGCCGGCGGGACUGCCUGCUCCCUCCUCUUGUGGCCCGCUGUGAUGCCGAACAGGCUUCCCCGACCCACCUUACUCCCUAUGCUGGCCUGGCCGCAUGCAAUCAACUGCCUCCUUAUUACACGAAAAAAAUGAUUCCUCCCACUGACAUCUGGGGCGCACCGGUUGGGAGGCUGGCCUGUGGGCCUACUAAGUUGACGCGUACGCAGGGCUUGUCAACUUAGUCAACAAAUGAUUCUAGCAGCAGUAAUCGUUGGAUUUGAAUCGAACGGUCCUGCUGCUUCUUCAAUCGCUGCUCUUCUUGCACCAGCCGCACAAACCAGCACCAGCCGCCCAACUCCAGUGGCCGGCUGUGCUGCGGUUGAGGCCUCAUCGCCCCCUACUACUCCCACCGCUAGCCAGGCCCUGUGGCGACGGCAGCCUCACACCGCAGCCAAACCAGUGAACCCUCGUACUCCUCUCCGCGUGGGCAUCCACUGUCGCGUCUUCCCCGGCUCCGCGUCAUCCCCUUCCUAGGCCUCGCCGUCGUCCAUCGCCUUGGUGCUCUUGGCGCGGAACAGUACUGUACAUGGAGAGGCUGACAGCUGGCUCCAUGGCCACAACCUAGUUUUUUUGUGAUUUACGAAGUAAGUCGCUUUGUCAGGCCUGUUGGGCUGCAAAUCUUUCAAGACAAGGAGAGCUUUCAUUCGGCUGACCGAGAAAAUGGCCCAUCAAUAAUGAGAAAUAGGUUGUACAUUUUUAAAACACAUCAAACCGGCAAUUAGUUUCAAAUACCUUUUUUUAUUUCGAGAUUUUAAAUUACAUUAAUUUUUAUGCAUGGAGAAUUUGUUGGAUUUUAUAUUGAUAUACAUUUAUUUUCAAAAUCAGUUUGAAUGUGAGUCGAAAUUUCGGGAUUAAAAAUAGUUCGGACCACACCGAAAUAUGCAAAAUUUCGUAUAAUUUUUUAACCCUGGCCACAAUAUGGGCUGUAAUGCUAAGAAAAAGAAUACGGGCUCCAAAAAAACCUUAAGAAUUAGCAAAUGGGUUGUAAAUUAUUAGAAAUAAUGGCAGAUGGGUUGUAUGCUGUUUUCCACAUAUUUGAGGCUUUUCUAAAAAAAGGUUGACGCACAAGCAGUGACUGUUCGAUGUCCAUCGAACGGCCGUCGUGCUUCUUCAAUCUCUGCUCUUCCUGCUCCAGCCGCUCAAACAAGCGCCGGCGGGACUGCCUGCUCCCUCCUCCCCGCGAUCGGCUAUGUUGCUGGCUAGGCCUCACCGCCCCACCGUACUCCCAUCGCUGGCCUAGCCAUCCCUCUACUCACCCACACCUGCUGUUAUUCUAUGGCGACAGCAGACGAACCAGUAAACCCUCGUACAGUCAUACUCCCAUCCGCGUGGGAAACAACUGCCGAGUCUUCCCUGCCUCCGUGUCGUUCCCUUCCUAGGCCUCGCUGUCGUCCACCGCCCUGGUGCUCUCGGCGCGGCCUGGUCAACAUGGUCAACGACCGACAUGCAUCUGAAGUGGACUAUAUGUGGAGAGGCCGACAGCUGGGUCCACGGCCGCACGCAAGGAAAUGCCUCCUUAUUACGCGCAAGAUAAUGAUUCCUCCACCUGACAUCAGGGACCCACCGAAAUGGCCUCUGUAUUUCGCAAAAAAAACGUUACCGGCGCAGACAGCUCGGACCCACCAGCUAUAUCUUCGCACGCAAGGAAGUGCCUCCUUAUUACGCACAAAAAAAUGAAUACUCCCCCUGUUAGCUGGGACCCAGUAUAGUGGUGGCAGGCUGACUUGUGGGCCUACUAAGUUGACGGGGACAGAGGGCUUUGUCAACUUAGUCAAUAUGCACGAUUCUAGCUCCAGUGACCGUACGAUGUCCAUCGAACGGCCGUAGUGCUUCUUCAACCUCUGGUCUUCUUGCUCCAGCCGCCCAAACCAGCACCGGUCGUGCCUCGUGCUCCUGCCUCCCGUAGCCGGCUACGAUGCGGCGGAGGCCUCACCGCCGCCUACUACUCCCACCGCUGGCCAGGCCAUCCCUCUACUCACCCACACCCCCUGUUAUUCUGCGGCGAUGGCAGCCUCACACCGCAGUGAACCAGUGAACCCUCGUACUCCUCUACGCGUGGGCAUCCACUGCCGCAUCUUCCCCGGCUCUGUGUCGUCCCCUUCCUAGGCCUCGCCGUCGUCCACCGCCCUGGUGCUCUCGGCACGGCUUGGUAAACGUGGUAAAGGAACGGAUAUGUGAAAGAGUUUCAUCAUGAUAAGCUCGAACCCAAAAUGGAUAAAUACAUCUUCAUAGGAUACCCAAAAUGGUUGGGUAUACCUCCUAUCUCAGAUCCGGAAGCAAAAGUAAUUGUUUCUAGAAAUAGGUCUUUUCUCGAGGAAAGGUUUCUCUCGAAAGAAUUGAGUGGGAGGAUGGUGGAGACUUGAUAAGGUUAUUGAACCAUCACUUCAACCAGUGUGUAGCAGGGCACAGGAAGUUGUUCAUGUGGCACCUACACCAAUUGAAGUGGAAGCUGAUGAUAGUGAUCAUGAUGCUUUGGAUCAAGUCACUACCGAACCUCGUAGGUCGACAAGGACGCGUACUACUUCAGAGUGGUACGCAAUCCUAUCUCAGAGGUCAUGUUGCUAGACAACGAUGAACCUACGAGCUAUGUGGAAGCGAUGGUGGGCCCGGAUUCCGACGAAUGGAUCGAGGCCAUAAAAUCCGAGAAAGGAUCCAUGACUUUGGAAGAAAUACUUGAUGGUCGUAAGGAUGUUGGGUAUAGACGGAUUUUAAAAGGAAGACAGACAAUGAUGGUAAGUAUCACCAUUAAGAAAGCUCGACUUGUCAUUAAGAUGUUUUCCGACAAGUUCAAGGAGUUGACUACGAUGAGACUUUCUCACUCAUAGCGAUGCUAAGAGUCUGUUGGAAUUGGAUUAGCAGUUACUGCAUUAUUUAUGAAAAUCUUGCAUAUAGGAUGUCAAAAAAACAUUGUUUCCUUGACAGUUUUCUUGAGGAAAGGUUGUAUGUGAUACAACCAGAAGGUUUUGACAAUCCUGAAAGACGCUAACAAGUAUGCAAAGCUCCAACAGUCCUUCUAAGGACUGGAGUAAGCAUCUCAGAGUUGGAAUGUACGCUUUGAUGAGAUGAUCAAAGAUUUUGGGUUUAUACAAAGUUUAUGAGAAACUUGUAUUUCCAAAGAAGUGAGUGGGAGCACUAUAGAAUCUCUGAUGAGUAUAUGUUGUUGACAUAUUGUUGAUCAGAAGUGAUGUAGAAUUUCUAGAAAGCAUAUAGGGUUAUUUGAAAGGUGUUUUUCAAUAGAAAACCUGGAAUAAGCUGCUUGAACAUUGAGAAUCAAGAUCUAUGAGGAUAGAUCAAAAAACACUAAAUGGUACGUUCAAAUGAGCACAUACCUUGACAUGAUCUUGAAGGUGUUCAAGAUGGAUCAGUCAAAGAAGGAGUUCUUGCCUGAGUUGUAAGGUAUGAAGUUAAGAGUUAAAGCUCGACCACGGCAGAAGAGAGAGAAAGGACGAAGGUCGUCCCCUAUGCUUCAGACGAAGGCUCUAUAGUAUGCUAUGCUGUGUACCGCACUGGAAGUGUGCCUUGCCAUGAGUCAGUCAAGGGGUACAAGAAUGAUCCAGGAACGGAUCAUUGGACAGCGGUCAAAAAAUUGUCCUUGGAGUAAAUAAGGACAUGUUUCUCGAUUAUGGAGGUGAUAAAGAGUUCGGCGUAAAGGGUUACGUUGAUGCAAGCUUUAAUACCUAUCCGAGUGACUCUGAGUAGCAAACCGGAUACGUAUAGUGGAGCAACCAUUUGGAAUAGCUUCAAGUGGAGCGUGGAAGCAGCAUUUACAAUAUGACCUACAGAUUUGCGAAGUACACACAGAUCUGAAUGUUGCAGACCCAUUGACUAAAACCUCUCUCACAAGCAAAACAUGAUCAAACCCUAGAACUCAUUGAGUCUUAAUCACAUGGUGAUGUGAACUAGUUUAGUGACACUAGUAAACUCUUUGGUUGUUGGUCACAUGGAGAUGUGACCUAUCAGUGUUAAUCACAUGGCGAUGUGAACUAGAUUAUUGACUCUAGUGCAAGUGGGAGACUGUUGGAAAUAUGCCCUAGAGGCAAUAAUAAAUUAGUUAUUAUUAUUAUAUUUCCUUGUUCAUGAUAAUCAUUUAUUAUCCAUGCUAUAAUUGUAUUGAUAGGAAAUUCAGAUACAUGUGUGGGCACAUAGACAACACCAUGUCCCUAGUAAGCCUCUAGUUGACUAGCUCAUUGGUCAAUAGAUGGUUACGGUUUCCUGACCAUGGACAUUGGAUGUCGUUGAUAACGGGAUCACAUCAUUGGGAGAAUGAUGUGAUGGACAAGACCCAAUCCUAAGCCUAGCACAAAGAUCGUGUAGUUCGUAUGCUAAAGCUUUUCUAAUGUCAAGUAUCAUUUCCUUAGACCAUGAGAUUGUGCAACUCCCGGAUACCGUAGGAAUGCUUUGGGUGUACCAAACGUCACAAUGUAACUGGGUGACUAUAAAGGUGCACUGCGGGUAUCUCCGAAAGUGUCUGUUGGGUUGGCACAAAUCAAGACUGGGAUUUGUCACUCCGUGUAACGGAGUGGUAUCUCUGGGCCCACUCGGUAGGACAUCAUCAUAAUGUGCACAAUGUGACCAAGGGGUUGAUCACGGGAUGAUGUGUUGCAGAACGAGUAAAGAGACUUGCCGGUAACGAGAUUGAACAAGGUAUCGGGAUACCAACGAUCGAAUCUCGGGCAAGUACAAUACCGCUAGACAAAGGGAAUUGUAUACGGGAUUGAUUGAAUCCUCGACAUCGUGGUUCAUCUGAUGAGAUCAUCGUGGAACAUGUGGGAGCCAACAUGGGUAUCUAGAUCCCGCAGUUGGUUAUUGGCCGGAGAGUUGUCUCGGUCAUGUCUGCAUGGUUCCCGAACCCGUAGGGUCUACACACUUAAGAUUCGGUGACACUAGGGUUGUAGAGAUAAUAGUAUGCGAUAACACGAAUGUUGUUCGGAGUCCCGGAUGAGACCCCGGACGUCACGAGGAGUUCCGAAGUGGUCCGGAGGUAAAGAUUUAUAUAUAGGAAGUCCAGUUUCAGCCACCGGGAAAGUUUCGGGGGUCAUCGGUAUUGUACCAGGACCAUCGGAAGGGUCCCGGGGGUCCACCGGGUGGGGCCACCUAUCCCGGAGGGCCCCAUAGGCUGAGGGGGCGUGGGAACCAGCCCCUGGUGGGCUGGUGCGCCCCCCUUUGGGCCUCCCAUGCGCCUAGGGUUAGAAACCCUAAGGGGUGGGGGCGCCGCCACUUGGCUUGGAGGCCAAGCCACCCCUAGGGCCGCCGCCCCCCUCCCUAGAUGGUAUCUACAAGGGGUCGGCGCCCCCCCUAGGCCCCUAUAUAUAGUGGAGGGGAGGGAGGGCUGCCGCACCUGAGUCCCUGGCGCCUCCCUCCCUCCCAUGACACCUCUUCCUCCCCGCUUGCGCUUGGCGAAGCCCUGCCGGGAUCCCGCUACUUCCACCACCACGCCGUCGUGCUGAUGGAUCUCCAUCAACCUCUCCUCCCCUUGCUAGAUCAAGAAGGAGGAGAUGUCUCUCCCAACCGUAUGUGUGUUGAAUGCGGAGGUGCCGUCCGUUCGGCGCUAGGAUCAUCGGUGAUUUGGAUCACGACGAGUACGACUCCAUCAACCCUGUUCACUUGAACGCUUCUGCUUAGCGAUCUACAAGGGUAUGUAGAUGCACUCUCCUUCCCCUCGUUGCUAGUUUCUCCAUAGAUAGAUCUUGGUGACUCGUAGGAAAAUUUUGAAUUUCUGCUACGUUACCCAACAAUGUGUACAUACAAGCGGGGUCUCGAACGCCUACUCGCGCAUACGUAUGGCCAGGGCUCGUGUACAUGGCUGGGUCGGAAUGGAGAAACAGCAUCGUCAUUGUGUUCAUGGGGAGCCAACCGGCUGGGUCGGAACGGAAUGUGUCGUCGUGUUCAUCGGGAGGGCUUGGAUGGAACGGGCGAUGGAAACGAGGCCUGGCGUACCGCAGAACGGAGGAAACGGACCUCCUACGUUCGGAAUGGGGUCCUGUUGAUCGGGAGGGGUGUGGCGUACCGCAAAACAGAGGAAACGGACCUCCUAUGGUCGAAACGGGGGUCCUGUUGAUCAGGAGGGGUGUGGCGUACCGCAAAAUGGACGAAACGGACCUCCUACAGUCGAAACGGGGGUCCUGUUCAUCGGGAGGGGUGUGGCAUACCGCAAAACGGAUGAAACGGACCUCCUCCGGUCGAAACGGGGGUCAUGUUCAUCGGGAGGGGUGUGGCGUACCACAAAACGGGACUCCACGGGAUACUGUUCAUCUCCACAAUCGACCUCCUCCAGCCUCCACGGGCUCCUAUUCAUCCAGCCUCCACCGCGCGCUACUCCACCGGCUGUUCAACCACCCCUCUCCAUGGGCUCCUAUUCAACCACCCCUCCACGGGCUACUGUUCAUCCACCCCUCCACCAUCUACUGUUCAUCCAGCCCUCCACGGGGUCGUCCUGUUCAUCCAGCCCUCCACGGGUCCUGUUCAUCCAGCCCCAACCGGCUCGAUCGAUCGGGGUCCUGUUCAUCCAGAGGCAACGCCACGGGUCCUGUUCAUCCACUCCCACCGCUCACUGUUCAUCCAAACCCCCCCGCAACGCUCACUGUUCAUCCAGAGAGGCAGCAUCGAUCGGCUUCAGUUAGCAGCAGUAGCGAAGGAAUCACUCGAUCGGGUUCAGUUAACAUCCAUCGAUCGAUCGCUCGGGUUCAGUAACACGUAGCCUACAGUGCAAUCGCUCGGGUUCAUUUAGAGCCCAACGCCUCGCUCGGGUUCAGUUAGAGCCAACGCCUCGCACGCGUACGUGUACGAGAGAAACGCACAUCGAUCGGCCCCCGACCACCCACCAUAACCGGGAACUCCCCGAAAUUUUCCUCGCCCUCGCUUCUACCAUGGUUUUUUCCAUCAUGGACGUCCCAAAGAAUGUCAUGCAGCUGCGUCUCUGGCCCGCCUAGGACGAAAAUCCCAUUUUCUGUCAUGAUUUUUUGUCAUAGAAGUAGGAGCCCACCACAUCUAUGAUGAUACCGGAUUUUGUCACAAUUAUCGUCAUAGAACUGUCAUAUGUAUGAUAGAAAAAAAAAUUUAUUCGGCCUAAAAUGUCAUGGAUGUGUCUUUUUUUGUAGUGGUAGGUAUGAGUUUAUUCAAAUCAAGACUUUUAUGUAAAGAGAAAGGCAUAACACUAACACCAGCUCCUAAAUCACAUAAAGCAGCUUUCACAUAAUUUCUUUUGAUGGAGCAAUGUAUAGUUGGUAUUCUCGAAUCUCCAAGUUUUUUAGGUACUCCACCCUUAAAAGUAUAAUUAGAAAGCAUGGUGGAGAUUUAAGCUUCCGGUAUUUUUCUCUUAUUGGUGAUGAUGUAUUUCAUGUAUUUUGCAUAAGGAGGCAUUUUUAAGAUGGCAGUCAAGCGAGUACGCAAAAAGACUGGCCUCAGCAUUUCAGCAAAGCGUUCAAAUUCUUCAUCAUGCUUCUUCUUAGUUGAUUACGUGGAAAUGGCAUAGGUUUUUGAACCCAUGGUUCUCUUUCCUUACCGUGUUUUCUAGCAACAAAGUCUCUUUUAUCAUAUCUUUUAUUCUUGGGAUGUGGGUUAUCAAGAUCAACAGCUGGUUCUAUUUCAAUAUCAUUAUCCGGUUAUUUAUUAUUUGUUUGAGUAUCUUCAUGAACCUCAUCAUUGUGUUUUUCAUUAUCAGAAGGUGAGUGUUCAUUACCAGAUUGAGCUUCAGCAUCAGAAAUAGAGACUUCAUUAUCAUUAUCAGGAGGUUUUUCUAUUUCAGGUUCACUAGAGGCAUGCAAAGUCCUAUCUUUUUCUUCUUCUUUUUCUUUUUAGAAGAACUAGGUGCAUCAGUGUUAACUCAUUGAGAGUCUUGUUCAAUUCUUUUUGGGUGUCCCUCAGGAUAAAGUGGUUCCUGAGUCAGUCUACCCCCCUCUAGUUAUUACUCUAACAAUAUGAUCAUUGAUAUUAUUACUCAUUUCAUCUAACAACUCUCUUUGAGAUUUAGCAACUUGUUCUAAUUGAGUUUGAACCAUAGAGGCAUGCUUUCCUACACCUCUAACAUCAUUGGAGAUUCUAAAUAACAAGUCACUCAAAUGAGCAAUCAUAUCAGAAUUGUAUUUCAAUUGUUUCAUAACAUUUGCAUUGAAAUGAUCUUGCUUUCUAAUGUAAUUAUCAAACUCAUAAAGGCAUUGACUAGGAUGUUUAUUAUAAGGAAUAUCACCUUCAUCAAACUUUAGUAAAUAAUUUACCUCUACCACCUUAGGUGGUGGUGGUGUUUCAAGCCCAUGUAUUUCUUUGAUAGGUGGUAAAUUUUUAACAUCCUCUGCUUUAAUAUCUUUUUCCUUCAUAGUUUUUCUUUGCCUCUUGCAUAUCUUCAGGACUGAGAUAUAAGAUACCCAUCUUCUUUGGAGUAGGUUUAAGUGGUGGUUUAGGAAGGAUCCAAUCAUCAUAAUUUUUCAAUAUGUUAUUCAAUAAUUCUUCAGUUUGUUCAACAGUCCGUUCCCUGAAAACACAACCAACACAACUAUCUAGGAAAUCCCUAGAAGCACCGGUUAGUCCAUUAUAGAAGAUAUCAAGUAUUUCAUUUUUCUUAAGCGGAUGAUCAGGCAAAGCAUUAAGCAAUUGGAGAAGCCUCCCCCAAGCUUGUGGGAGACUCUCUUCUUCAAUUUGCACAAAGUUAAAAAUUUCCUGUAAGGCAGCUUGUUUCUUAUGAGCAGGAAAAUAUUUUUCAGAGAAGUAAUAAAUCAUAUCCUGAGGACUAGGCACACAACCAGGAGCAAGAGUAUUACACCAAGCCUUAGCAUCACAAUUUAAUGAGAACAGAAAUAAUUUCAGAAUAUAAUAAUAGCGAAUCUUCUCAUCAUGAGCAAAAAGGGUGGCUAUGUCAUUCAACUUAGUAAGAUGUGCCACAACAGUUUCAUAUUCAUAACCAUGGAAAGGAUUAGAUUCAACCAAAGUAAUCAACUCUCGGUCGACAGAGAAUUCAUAAUACUUAUCAUCAACAAAGAUAAGAGAAGUAGCAAACUGGGGGUCACAUUUCAUUCUAGCAUUCAAAGAUUUCUCUUUCAUUUUGCAUAAUAAUUUUUAAGAUCAUCUCUAUCAUUGCAAGCAUAAAAAUCUCAAGCCAUCUCCUCAUCCAUAACAUAACCUUCAGGUACUUUUGGCAAUUCAUAUCUAGGAGAUCUAGGUCUAAUAGGUGUUUCAAGAUUUUUAGUUUCAAGCUAUUCAUCAGUUUCAGCAUUCUCAAAAGCUUUAGUUCUAGCAAGUUGUUCAUCAAGAAAUUUACCUAGUGGCACAUUAUCAUCAAGUAAGGUACUAGCAUCAUCAUGAGUAGCAUUCCUAACAGAAGGAGCAUCAUCAAUAACUUGCGACAUAUAAGAAUUGCAUAGCAUGCGGUGGUGUUGUAAGUUUACUUAUAACAGAAGGCGAAUCAAGUGCAGAGCUAGAUGGCAGUUCCUUACCUCCCCUCUUCUUAGAGGGAAAAAUCUUAGUCUUAGCAUCCUUCAGAUUCUUCAUAGUGAUAAUUUGAUAAUAAUCCCAAGUGACUCAACAAAUAUAGCUAUGCUUCCCAGCAACGACGCCAGAAAAAGGCCUUGAUAACCCACAAGUAUAGGGGAUCGCAACAGUUUUUGAGGGUAUAUUAUUCAAUCCAAAUUUAUUGAUUCCACACAAGGGGAGACAAAGAAUAUUUGCAAGUAUUAGCAGCUGAGCUGUCAAUUCAACCACACAUGGAGAUUAAUUAUCUGCAGCAAAGUGAUCAGUAGCAAAGUAGUAUGAUAGUUUUGAUAAUAGUAGCAACAACAAUAGUGACAGUAGUAGUAGUAGUAACUUAGCAGAAACAAUAUAAGAUAAAUUCGUAGGCAUUGGAUCGGUGAAUUCGUUGGAUGAUAUUCAUCAUAUAACAGUCAUACCCCAGGGCAAUACGGCACUAGCUCCAGUUCAUAAAUAUAAUGUAGGCAUGUAUUCCAUAAAUAGUCAUACAUGCUUAUGGAAAGAACUUGCAUGACAUCUUUUGUCCUACCCUCCCGUGGCUGCGGGGUCCUAUUGGAAACUAAGGGAUAUUAAGGCUUCCUUUUAAUAGAGAACCGGAACAAAGCAUUAACACAGGGUGAAUACAUGAACUCCUCAAACUACGGUCAUCACCGGGAAGUGUCCCGACUUCUGUCACUCUGGGUUUGCCGGAUCAUAACACAUAGUAGGUGACUAUAACUUGCAAGAUCAGAUCUAGAACAUAGAUAUAAUGGUGAUAACAUAAACGGCUCAGAUCUGAAAUCAUGGCACCCGGGCCCAAAGUGACAAGCAUUGAGCAUGGCAAAGUCAUAGCAACAUCAAUCUCAGAACAUAAUGGAUACUAGGGAUCAAGCCCUAACAAACUAACUCGAUUACAUGAUGAAUCUCAUCCAACUCCUCACCGGCCAGCGAGCCUACGAAGGAAUUACUCACUGCCGGUGGGGAGCAUCAUGGAAUUGGCGAUGGAGAAGGGUUGGUGAUGACGAAGAUCGAAGACCCCCCUCUCCGGAGCCCCAAACGGACUCCAGAUCUGGCCUCCCAAUGAAGAACAGGAGGUGGCGGCGGCUCCAUCUUGUGAAACGCGAUAAUUCUUUCUCCCUGAUUUUUUUCUCCAAAUAUGUGAUUUUAUAGUAUCAGGGUUGAAGUCUUCGGGGCCACCAGGUGGGGACAACCCACCUGGGCGCGCCUAGAGGGGGCUGCACCCUGGUGGGUCGUGCCCACCUAGGUGCGCCCCUCCGCUGGUUCUUGGCUCUAGAAAUUCUCUUUUAUUGUAUACAAAUUCCUCGCAAAGUUCUGUUCCAAUCCUAGAACUUUUAUUUCUGCACAAAAAAUAACACCAUGGUAGUUCUGCUGAAAACAGCAUCAGUCUGGGUUAGUUUCAUUCAAAUCAUGCAAAUUGGAGUCCAAAACAGGAGGAAAAGCGUUAGGAAAAGUAGAUACGACGGAGACGUAUCAGCAUACACCAUGGUGCAUCAACGACUUGGUGAAAAGCAUAUGUGAAAGCUCGAGUCGAAGAGUGGAGGUAGCUCGCAAGUCGACCAUUCCCAUUCACCUACCCGAAAUAAGUGGGUUAUUCAUUACUGUGCCACCUUUGUUCAAUCGAGUCCAUGUUCUCGAUCUCCCAAAACCCAUUCGUUCACCGACCCAUGGACCAAAGGUUUCUUGCUUGGAAGUGAGAUUUCUAGUUUUCUUUAGUACAAUCAUUUUGCGAGAGCAACCCCGGGUUCGUUCCUAAGAUGAACUCUCAACUUUCUUUGUUCAUGUUUCGGCAUAGGAGAUAAAGCGGUAGGACAAGACUACAUUGCCAUACGAUCUAGGAAUAUCUAGCGAGGAUAGACUAGAUCAUAACUGACCCCACUAUUAGGUAAACUCUAACAUUGCUCCCAUGUGUAAGGCAAGGCAUGCGAGGUCUCCUCACAACUCAUCUCAUAAUUAUGUGAUCCUUGCGAUCUCACUAUUGUGCACCAGACCCUAGCUCAUACGAGGCUACUAUCCCAUAAUACACCAAACCCCAUCACCAUUGUACACCUCCAUAGUGAGGGCCUGAACCUCGGUAAAUUACAUCAUGUGAAUUCCAUUUUUGUGUAUCCUGCUAUGUGCACAACCCAAUCGUGCUUACUGUCAGGAUCUUGUACUGACAGUCCGUGCAUCAGGCAGGGGUAGCGCUGGCUAGAGAUCAGAUCCAGAUGGGAUCCCACUUCAUUAUCGGAGUUGAGCUCGUUGUCCCGAGUCACCUCUUCUUCUUGUCUUGCCUCAUGUGCUUCUUGUAUUUCAUUCUGUGCUUGUUGUUCAUGUUCUUCAUAUAUAUGUUGUUGGGAACGAAGAGCUUCAUGCGCUUGCUUCGCUUGUUAUUGAGAACAAACUUCUUUUUGUCUAUGUGGGUAUGUUCUUCCUAUUCUUGAUGGUCGCGCUCAUCAUAGGCUCCUUCCUCUCAAUCUUUUCAUUGUCAUCGCUCAUGAUCCAAUAUGCAGUCUUGUAGUCUACUGCCACAGUGAGGUUGUGGAGAACAAUUUUUCUCUUAUUCUUCUUAGUAGUUGUGAUGUCAAGACUGGUGUGAAUUUGCAUGUGGUGGAUGCUUAGAAGCAUUUGAACUUGCAUAGAGUCUUGUUGAUGAUGAAGAUGUAGAUGCGUUCAACUUUCAUACAUGUAUAUGAUCUUGUCCAUUUACGCAUCCAACUUGGAUUUAAGGUAGUCUUUGUUGUGAGUUUUGACUUCGUGCAACUCAGCAUGCAAGUGGUGACAAGAUUGUUGUUAGAAGGGAGAGAUGAUUGGUGGAAUAGUUGAUUGUGGUAUUGCUUGAGCCUCGUGGGCAUAUAUAUAGGAGUACAUGGUCAACAUGGAGUACAAGACAAGCCGGAACAUAUCCUAGUCUAUCUCGUAUUUCCUAACUAAACAUAAUACUCAACAUCCCCUGCAGUCACAACGGUAGCGAUGCAGACAGUGAGACUGGAGAAGAAUCCGAAGUCAAGCUGAUUGACACCCCCCACACACACACACACACACAGUCGUAACGGUCGAUGCAUCAUGGAGUCGAGGCUGGAGUGAAAACCGACGAGGUUGCUCAAGCAGGCGGUAGCCUUUUGUGACGUUUGCCGAUGUAGCCGAGAGCAUGGGUGGUGUAGCCGUGGUUGAGGUAGUUGUGCGAACAAUGUCGUGGUCGAGGUCGAGUCGGGGUAGCCAGUGUCGAGGAUGUCACCGGGGAGCCGCGGGCGCAAGGAGGCACCGAGUUAGUCAUAGGCGCAGUGGUGUCGAAGUAGUGGUGCGCCAGGAAGUAAAUGGUGUUGACGACGCGUCGCGCCGGGGUUGCCAACCCCGGGGACACAUCGUAGACGAAGGCACGCGUCAGUGUUGCCAGCACCAGGCAUGCGUAGAAGGACGAAGAUGAAGUUGAUGAAGCGCACCAGGCUUGCCAGGCCCAGGGACACGUCGUGGACGAAGGCACGCGGCGGUGGUUGCCAGCAUCGGGCAUGAGUAGACUGGGACCUGCACGAGCUGUACGCCAUGUCGAAGAAGUCGGAGAGGCCAGCAGAGAAGGACUCGAUGAUGGUUGCGGCGCCAAUCAGCAUUGUGCCAAUGUAGCCCGCGGUUGUCUGAGUAGAUGAAGCGGUCGGGGUAGAUGACAGCGAUGGUGGCGACGGGCUAGUGCUAGAGGAAGACGAAGGGGGUGGACCGGCAGUUGCGGUGGCUACGGGGGUAGCAGUGGCGGCGGCUGAAGAAGAGCGGCGCCAGCGACUAGGUUAGGACCGCGGUGGCGAUGCUCUAAGUAGGCGAAGAACCCUGAGAGCGUGAUGAAGACCAGCACGGACGGUGGCGUUCCCACGCCAAGGGAAACGGCGCGGUGCGUACCACAGGAGGUCGACGCGCGAUGAUGGCGGAGUGGACCGCGGGCAGCGGCGCUACAGCCCGAAGGGGCGACGCAACGACGGCGGGCAGGUCGGGGCGACGGCAGGAAGACCUCGGGGCGGCUGCGGGGACAGCCUCGGGGCGACGGCUGGGACCGAGUAUCGCAGCACUACGGCCCGUAGGGGCGACGCAGCGGCAACGCACGAGUCGAUGCAGUCGCAAGGAGAACCACGGGGCAGCGGCGCUGUGGCCCGACGGGUUGACGCAGCGGCAGCCCGUUGCUCAAUCGGCGGAGGUGCGCACUGAACUCGUGGACGCUCUUCACGGAACCUACGGAGGCGCACGUAACCGACGGAACAGCUCGGUCGCGCGGCGUAGAUGAGGCGGAUCGCGGCAGCGAGCGGGUGAUCAAGCUGAUCGCACGCGAGGUCGGGGACGCAUCUUGGUGGAGACGGGGUGGUGACAGAGUCCGAGAUGAAGCCGGCGAUGAUGGAUGGAGUGGGACGACGAGCGAACGAGCAUGUCAGCACCGGCACCCGGUCCACCAAAGCAGCGCCGGCGCCCGGGCAGCAAGGCCCAGUGACCAACGGAGCAGCGGCGCCCGAGUUGAGGCAGCCAACGAGCCUGACGUAGCCGUCCCGACGCAGCCGAGGACGAGGCCGGCGAGGUAGACCGCCGGGCCGCCAUGCAGAAGCGGCAGAGGCGGGUGGCGUGGAUCGAUUGGCGGGCCGACGCGCGAGCGGUGGCUAUGAUUGGCCGCCGCAUGGCACGAGGCCGCCGGGUAUAGGCGAUGCAGGUGUUCCAGUCGAUGCAGGGCGGUGACGGCCGGCACAGGGCAACGGGCGGGCCGGCGCGCGAACGACAGCCUUGAGGGUUGCCUGUCGCGUGAGGCCGCUGGGUCGGUGAAGUAGCCGGCCGGUCGCGCCGGUGUCGGAGUGGAGGCGCGGGGUGUCGACGGCGGCGGUGAGCGACGCAAACCAAUCCAGUGGAUCGGAAAACCAAAAGUAGACGCCGAUCAAAGCGACCGGCAAGAGAGAGAAAACCCGGAUCAAAGGAUCAGGAAAAAGACUCUCUAGGGCAGCCGGUUGACACGACUGGCAGACGAACCCUAGGUACGGGCGGCGCAGCCCCCGGCGGCGGUCGUGAAGGACGACCGCCUCGGGGGCGGCGCGCAGAGGGGAAGCGACGGGAGGCUAGGGUUUAGAACCCGAAAACUAAUACCAUGUUAGAAGGGAGAGAUGAUUGGUGGAAUAGUUGAUUGUUGUAUUGCUUGAGCCUCGUGGGCAUAUAUAUAGGAGUACAUGGUCAACUUGGAGUACAAUACGAGCCGGAACAUAUCCUAGUCUAUCUCGUAUUUCCUAAUUAAACAUAAUACUCAACCAUUGCCCUGUGCUCAUGUAGGAUGGUGUUGGCGUCAUUGAUGGCUCGUUUGAGGCCGAAGUGAUGAGCCUUUGACGUUUAGUUGUUGGUGUCUUGUUGGUCAUCGUAGACUGGAUUAGAUGUACCUUCCCUUUUCAUCAAAACACUCGAGCAGGCUGCGAGUAGAAACGGGGAUAAACAAUACGAAAGUGACCUCUUACCGAUGUUAGUGACGGAUCAGGUGAUCUCACAAGUGUCAAAGCAAAUUUAAUAACUUGGUAUUGAGCCUUGUCCAAUCUCAAACCUACAUAGAAGGCUUAUAAUGGAUCUUGCUAGCGAAUAGUGGCACGAAAUUAAGCAAUUUGAAGUUCAAGAUUUGCAAAAGGUUGAAAGUGAAUCGCAAUGAACUCAAAAAGCUAUGCAAGUGAUCACAAAUGUAAGGAUAGAAAGGGAACAAAAAAAUGCACGCGCAACACGAUUGAGGCUUGUCCAACCAAGGAUAUGAGCAUACAAAAUUCGCCUAAUGAAGGCUAAGCUCGUGUUGCACAAAUGCAAGAAGAGACACUAAGAACAAGGAUUCGGUCACUUGGCUACCACUCUACUACUAACAAAACUUGAUGUUUCUUGUAAGUAUCCUUGGCACUUAUGUUUCUUUUGCUCUUUGCACCUUUUGCUUAUAAGCAUCUUUUUAUAUUCCUUUUUCUUCCUUUUUGUCUUUUCUCUUUGAGCCAAGAUCAAAACCUAUGGCUUCCUGACAACAAGGUUUGCCCAACUCUAGGUAGGGCGGGGCUACGAUGGCGGCGUGUUUUCGGCUCGCUCCAGUGCUUGUAGUUGUCGCUAGGUCGUCGACGGAUCUGGUGGAUGUAGUUUAUGUUACUUUUGGGGUUCUUUAUACUGCCAUGACAAUUGAUGAAUAUAUAGAUCGUAAGUUUUUCCCACAAAAAGAAUCUGAACCAUCAAAUCAGUUUCAUUAGCUUCCUUGUAUAAGAUACUCCCUCUGUCCCAAAAUAAGUGUCCCAAGGUUAGUUCAACUUUGUACUAAAGUUAGUACAAAGUUGAGACGCUUAUUUUGGGACGGAGGGAGUAUAUACUUUCAUGCUACGUGACAUUAGAUGUUGUAAAAUUUACCAUAUUAUUCUAUAAAUUUGAACAAUAUUGAACAAGUUUCUUUUGUGAAAUAGGACAUAGAUCUAUUAUAAAGGUUUAUAAGAAAUACAAAGCACCCUAAACAUAAAUUUACAUCGAGGACCCAGCUCCACUCAACAAUCACUACCACCACCAGUUCGAGGCACAAACUCACCACUUUCGUCGCUCCCUGCCGGAGCGGGCUUGACCUGGUUGAUGACAAAUGGGAAGUCUUCAUGCAUGUUCCCCUAAAGAUCAUCGCCCAAGAGCCACUUCCAUUACCUUUGUACCCUUUAAUCGAUUUGAAGCGCCCGACACCAAAUCACGCUGGCAUACAUGCACGAUGAGAAACCCUAACCUUGCCCCCAAAGGAGAUAGUAGGAAUCUACGUAGGAGCUACGUCAAUUUCGUCCCAAUGAAUGGAUUCAAGAGGGGUUGGAGCCUCAAAGAUGAAAGCGCCAUCCACCAAAAUGCCACCCCUGUGAGAAAAAAAACCCUGACCAAAACUACUAGCCGAGCCAAGGAACCGGAUGUCGGUGUCAAAAUAGGCAGAUCUCGGGUAGGGGGUCCCAAGCUGCGGAUCUUGGAUCGAUUGGUAACAUGAGGCAUAGAGAUGGUGUUUACCCAGGUUCAGGCCCUCUUGAAGAGGUAAAACCCUACGUCCUGCUUGAUUAUAUUGACGUGUAUGUGAUGGUUACAGAGUUGAUCUACCACGAGAUCGAAUGAACUAAACCCUAGAAGAGUAGGAUGAUGGUUCUUCUAGCCCUCUGGUUUAUAUAGGCAUGAGGGGUAUCUAGGGUUACAUAUGAUCAAGUGUCGUCAGGGGAUAAACAUGCCAUCUUCAUUAUCUUGACUUGGCGGAUACACCAAGGCUUCGGAGGUUUCCUUCUUGAACACGGAGUCGCUCAUAGUUCGGCCUUCCAACAACGGAUCAAGAGCGGCCCACAUGUCUGGCCCAUAAGAGAUAGACCGGCACCCCGAGGACCCCUUAGUCCAGGACUCCCUCAGUAGCCCCCGAACUAGUCUUCGAAGCCGAGGCAUGUGGGGGAAUCAUUGGCUUUGUGGACCAGUUCCUUCCUUCCAUGGUACUUACGCCAGGUACGCAGUUCCCCUUAGCCAAACCUUCAAGGGUUGCCUGGCCAAGUUCGGCCACGCAUUAUCCGAAUUAUGACCUGAUUUCUGAAUUGUAUAUAUUACUUAGCCUCGAAGGCAAGCCACUCGAGUGCGGACAAUGCCUUCACCUGACAACUUUUGGCGAAAGGCUCGACAAGAAGCUACAUAGCAGAAGGCGGCGGCCGAACGUGCGGCCGCCAAAUUGAAGACGAUAAAGACGGCCGGUGAGGAACACAAGGCUAGGGUGGCAGAAGUACAACAGGAUCUCAAGGAUGCCAUCACAAAAUGUGAGGACCUUGAGCAAAAAAGUAAGGAUCAGGGCUCCGAGCUGACCUCGUUGAAGUCGGCAAUCAAAGAGGAGCGGGUGAAGGCAUGAUUGCUUGUAAUCUGCGUUGGUAUUUCCCCGAAGAGGAGAGGAUGAAGCAGCACAGCAAAGGUAAGUAUUUUCCUCGGUUAUGAAACCAAGGUUAUCAAUCCAGUAGGAGAACCAAGCAACACUAAGUAAACAAAAGUUUUCCUUGAUACAUAUAACAUUUUCCACAAAAGUUUGCCAUGGCCCAUGGCAAUAACUUUAACUUUGUAUGUUUCCCCGUUUACUACCAUGGCAAUUUUCUCCUGCCUGUAUUUGUUUUUCAAAAAUUUCCAUGACAAAAUUAUGUUAUAUUCUAUGGCAAAUUUAUCGAGUUUACCAUGGUUAAUUUUAAAUUUGUAUCAUGGCAACUUCUCCAUGUUUUUACUUUUGCUUGAUGUGUGUAAUUAAAACACCAUGUCAAUUUUUCUGUAUAAGUUUUUCUUCGUAAAUUCCAUACAAAGCAUGUCAAUUUUAAUUAAAACAUCAUGGAAAAUUUUAAUUUUUAAGAAUGGCAAAUUUUAUUUUGUUGUACCUUGCACUGGUUUAUUCUCGGACCACGACAAAUUUUAUUUUUUCGACCUUGGAAAGUUUUAAUUUUUUUCAUUAACUUUUUUGUUCAAAGACACGCCCACUAACAUGUUCUUUAUAUUCUCACGUAGCUGGAAUUUUGGUGUUUUUAUUAUAAAAGAAACAACAUUUUUUUUAUUUUUAAGGCAUGUUUUUUUGUUUAUACAAAGCUGGGCCAUUUUAGGCUCUAUUUGAUUUCACUUACAACGUGCUGACUGAAGGGGCCGAAAGGGUUCGGGCUGGCGUUCCACCACACCAAACGACAGAAUCGUUCGUCCAAUCGCUUCUCCCUGUCGAACCUUUCAUUUGAUCUGGGGCUUUCCCAAGCCGAACAAUCGGGCGUUAUCGGGGUCCUAAAAAAUACAUGUAUAUAAAAGAGCUUAUUUUGUAUUUCCACGGUUUAGUUUCUAUCAUUUAUUAUUUCUCGAACAACGGUUUAGUGUAUUUUGGAUAAAGCAUGCUAAAUUUUUGGGCGCUCCUACGCAUCUGUCGGUGGAUCCGCCUCGCGAGCCAUCAGAUCUGCUUGAUUGAGCCGCCAAGCGUCACCCUUCUAUCAUUGCAACACAGGGCGUGUUGCAAGAAUUUUCUGCAACACAAGUCAUGUUGCAAAAUAAAUUACAGCAUAGGUCAAGUUAUAGUUUUUUUUGCAACAAAGGCCUUUUUUGGCAAUAGAGCUCUUAUUACAGUCUUUUUUGCAACAGAGGUCUGAUUGCAACAUUUUUUUUACAAUAGAGAUCUUGUUACAUUUUUUCUUUUUUUUGUAAAAAAGAUCUUCUUACAACUCUUUCUGCAACAGAGAUAUUGUUGCAGAAACUCACUUAUAGAGAAUCUGACAUGCGUUGCACAGAAGAGACGGCGGAUGCUUGCGUACAAUCCGUCGGCUGAAGCCAAGCAUUUUCCAUUGUAAGGGCUUAUUUAUCCCAUAGUGGUUUUGGUGAUUGAUGACAAUGCUUUUGCGGACUAAUCGUGUGCGUUAAGUUCUUUCAGAGAAUCAUCCAUUGGCACGAGACGAUUUCCUUCCCUCGGUGUUUUUAUUCAAGACGGUGUAGCUCCUGCAUUUCGUUGUUGGUGGACUAGUUUCGUAGGAGUCACCGUACUAUUAAGAGGGGAUCCGCUUUGGUAAGACUAGGGUGGAAUCAACACGUACACAUCCUUAUCACACCCGUCGUCUUCCUUUCGCAUCUUUGGAGCUGCACCUCUCUUCCGUACCUGCUUCGCCCUGUGCCAGCGGUAGUACCGCGGUCUACAGCGGUAGUACCGCCGAAGCCCCCCAGCGGUAGUACCGCUCCACGAAGCGGUAGUACCGCUCCGCAGAGCGGUAGUACCGCUCGCGGGCUUCUGCCGUAGUACCGCGUAGUACCGCGCCUACUGCCGCCUCGAUUCGAGACGGUGUUUUCUUGUGUCGGGUUUUGUGGCACUAGUAGCGGCAGUACAAGCGGUAGUACCGCUCUGAGCGGUAGUACCGCUCUACUCCCGCGGUAGUACCGCUCUGGGGCCAGUGGCCUGACUUUCUCUUCAGCGCGGUAGUACCGCUGAAUAGGGAGCUGUAGUACCGCCCUUCCCUAGCGGUAGUACCGCUUUGUGCGGGGCUGCUCAGUGGGGUAACGGUUGGAUGUGUCCCCCCACUAUUUAAAGGGGUCUUCUUCCUCCUAGUUGAACUACCUCUUUCCCCCAAAGCUCCAUUGUUGCUCAAAGCUCCAUUUUCGCCCGAUCUCUCUCCCUAGCCAAUCAAACUUGUUGAUUUGCUCGGGAUUGGUUGAGAAGGCUCAGAUCUACACUUCCACCAAGAGAAAUUUGAUUCCCCCCACUUAUCCCUUGCGGAUCUUGUUACUCUUGGGUGUUGAGCACCCUAGACGGUUGAGGUCACCUCGAAGCCAUACUCCAUUGUGGUGAAGCUUCGUGGUGUUGUUGUUGUUGUUGGGUGCCUCCGGUUGUUGUGGAGUUUGCCCCAACCUUGCUUGUAAAGGUUCGGUCGCCGCCUUCAAGGGCACCAAUAGUGGAAUCACGGCAUCUCGCAUUGUGUGAGGGCGUGAGGAGAAUACGGUGGCCCUAGUGGCUUCUUGGGGAGCAUUGUGCCUCCACACCGCUCCAACGGAGACGUACUUCCCUUUAAAAGGAAGGAACUCCGGUAACACAUCCUCGUCUCCACCGUCUCCACUCUUGGUUAAUUCGUGCCCUUACUUUUACAAGCCUACUUGUUGUUACAUCCUUGCUUGAUUGUGUGCUAGUUGUUAUUGCAUCAUAUAGGUUGCUCACCUAGUUGCACAUCUAGACAACCUAUUUUGUUGCAAAGUUUAAUUUGGUAAAGAAAAGCUUAAAAAUUGUUAGUUUCCUAUUCACCCCCCCCCCCUCUAGUCAACCAUAUCGAUCCUUUCAAUUGGUAUCAGAGCCUCGUCUCUUUAUUAAGGACUUUGCCGUCCGAAGAGUAUGGUUGACGUCAACGACGGUGCGGAGGAACACUCCGGUGUGAAUCCCAUCUCGUCUUCGGCCGAAGGGGGAACCUCAGUCUCUCGUGAGGAAUUCAAUGUGGCUUUAGACACAUUGAAAACCUCCAUGACGGCCGAGGUUAAAAGCAUGUUUACUGAAUUCCUAGAGGGACUCAAACUAUCUACCUUGCCGAUGAAAGUGGGUGAUCCCACUAACAAGGUGACGGAUGCUAACCCCGACAAGGGGGAAGCUAAUAGUGAAAAGAGUCCGUCUACUAGUGGUAGAAAUGGCACCGGCAUCUUUGCCCAUGUGGAACCCCCGGUGUAUAAAGGACCGAUCCCCUCUACGCAUUUGAAUCAUGCCGGUCCUCCUCCUAAAUAUGUGAAAAACGAAGAUUUUGAUUCUUGGGUAUAUCGCUUCAAGCGUCAUUUAAAACAUAUGAAUACUAACCUUUGGAGAAUUAUUGAAGAAGGUUUCUAUCCUCAUGAUCCAAGCAACUUCACCCCUCGAGAAGAAGUGGACAACCAAUUCAAUGAGAGUGCUCUCUUCAUCAUCCAAGAUGCUAUCCUUCCCGAAGAUCUCCCUCAUCUUCGACCUCAUGUCAUGGCUAAAGAAGCAUGGAAGUAUGUCGAGCAUAUGUAUAGAGGAAGUGCUAGCAUUCAACGCUCCAACUAUGAAGUGGUGCAAGAUGAAGCCGAUGAGUUUGCAAUGAAAGAGGAUGAAGAACCUCGUGAGCUCUUUCGAAGAGUGACCAAACUUGCGGUCGCACUCCGAGAUCAUGGGAGUAAAGACACGGAUGACAAUUGGAUCAAGCGCAAGUUCCUCAAGGCCAUGAUGCCCUACAACAAGGCCAUGUCCUCCGUCAUCCGCCAAAGACCGGACUUCCACUCCAUGACCUCUGGUGAAGUGUUGGAUGAGUUCAUUGCAAUGAACAUCUUGGAUAAGACCGCCGACAAUGCGGUGCUCCGUUCCCAAAGGGCAAAGAAGCCCAAUCUUGCCUUGAGGGCCAAGGUUAGUGUGGAAGAAGAAGAAGAAGAGGAAGAUGAGGAGAGCAACCCCGAGGACACAAAGUAUGAUUAUCAUGAGCACAUGGCUCUUGCCUCAAGACAGUUUUGGAGUAAGAAGACUACAAGACCCAACUUCAACAAGAACAACUCAAGUGGCCUCAAAGGGAAGCAACAAGUUAGAACUUGUUUCAACUGUGGCAAUGUUAGUCACUUCAUUGCGGAUUGUCCAUACGAGAAGCGGGAAGACAAUGGUGGCAAGUUCAUUCGAAAAGACAAAGCCAAGUUCUUCCCCAACAAGAACAACUUCACCAAGAGGACUCCCUCUCGUGGGUUGGUGGUUCAAGAAGAAUACCGUGAGGAUGACGAUGAUGAUGAAGAUGGUGAAACAAUGGCCAGGGCAUCCGUUGCCAUUGUCUCAACUCCUCGGGUGUCUCUAUUCGAUGCACCUAAUGAGAACAUCACCGCCAAGUGCCUCAUGGCUAAGGCCACCAACAAGGUAACCCCCAACAUCAAAACCACCAUUAUUCCUAACCCUCCUUCAACGGAUGACUUUGAUAAUGGUAAAGGGUCUAAUGAGGAGAUCAAUGAAUUUGAGUCCUUCAUGAGUAAGCUCAAGGGCAAAUCCAAGAAGCAUUUCGUUGCUCUCUUGGAACAACUUGGUGAAGCCAAUGACAUGAUCGAGGCCCAUGAAGAAACCAUCACUAAGAUGGAAAGUCAUAGUCGUGACUAUGCCGAUGAGAUAUCGGAUCUCUCUAAUGCUCUUGAGGAAGAGCGUGAGCAUCGUUUGGCUCUUGAGGAGUCACACAACGAUGGUCGCGCUAAAUCAAAGAAAGAUCUUGAUCAUGCUCUUGUUGUGUCUCGUGUUCUAGCUUCCAAGAAGGCUAAACUUGGGGUUGAUCAUGUUAGACUCACGGAGGAGUUUGAUGUACUUGACAAGGCCCACAAGGUCUUGAAAAGAGCUCAUGCCACCCUCAAGGAGUCUCAUGCUCAACUCCAAGUUAAGCUAACUAAGGAAAAGGCCACAUUUCCUCACAUGGUCUUAAUUGAUAAUGCAAAUGCUACUAACCCAUGUUGUGAGCAUGUGCAUCUUGUGGAGGAAAAUGCCAAGUUGAAGGUACAACUCGAGAAAGGUCUUGUGUCAUGCAUACAAGGCGAGAAGAACCUAAAUGAUCUUUUGAGCAAUCAAAAGGAAGUUGUGGGAAAGGAGGGAGUUGGGUUCGCACCCAAGUCCAAGAAUAAGAAGAAGAACAAGGAAAAGAAGAGCAAGACCAAUCGACCUCCUACGCUCACGCAAACCUUUGUAAAGGAGGGAGAAGGUGCUCCUAAGGAGAAGAAGAGCAAUGGGAAGAGCGGUGAAGCCAAAGAGCGCAACGCCAUCUCUCCCAACAAAGCCGGCGACUUUAACCCCUCUUAUGUGUUGUGUCGUGCUAGUGAUGGACAUGUUUAUGCUAAAUUUGUUGGUUCUCCUUAUGAGUACAUUGAAUGGUCUAUUUGGGUUCCUAAGACCCUUGUUACUAACAUCAAAGGACCCAUUACUCAAUGGGUACCUAAAACCAAGCAUUGAUCUCUUGUAGGUGUUUGCUUCCGGUGGGGGAUCAUGGUUGCUCGACAGUUGAGCAACAAAUCAUAUGACCGGGAGCAAGGACUUGGUGGUGGACGUGCACAAUAUCCCAUCUAUGCCCACCAAUGUCGAAUGGGGUGAUGCCUCACAUUCUAAGGUAUUGGGUCUUGGCAAGGUUGUCAUUUCUCAUGAUCUAACGAUCGAGAAAGUCAUGCUUGUUGAGUCCCUUGCGUUCAAUUUACUUUCCGUUCGUCAACUCGCACUCAUGGGUUUUGCCACCUUCUUUGAUAUUGAUACCGUGGCCCUCUUGUGGAGCAAGACUCUUAAAGUAGCCUUUGUUGGGCAUGUCGAGAACGGUCUCUAUGUGGUUAACUUCUCAGAGCAACCCACUAAGACCGCGACAUGCCUAAUGGCUAAAGUUGAUGUGGGAUGGCUUUGGCAUCGCCAUUUAGCCCACGUCAAUAUGAGAUCUUUGCAAAGUCUUCUCAAGGGGGACCAUGUUCAUGGACUAACAAAUGUUAGUUUUGCCAAAGAUCGUGCUUGCAGUGCUUGUAUCGAAGGAAAGCUUCAUGAAAAGGCUCACCCUCCUUCAACCAUCAUCUACUCGAAGAGACCCUUGGAGCUCCUUCACAUGGAUCUCUUCGGGCCUCCAUCUUUUGACAGUCUUGGAGGGAGAAAGUAUUGCUUGGUGAUUGUGGAUGAUUAUUCAAGAUACACUUGGGUAUACUUCUUCAAGAGGAAGAGUGAGACUCAACAAACGAUCAUCGACUUUGCAAAUGAAGCUCAACGUCAACACAAUGCAAAGAUCUUGACAAUAAGAAGUGACAACGGCACCGAGUUCAAGAACUACACCUUGGAUGAGUUUCUUAGUGAUGAAGGGAUCAAGCACCAAUAUUCCGCACCAUAUACCCCUCAACAAAAUGGUGUUGCGGAGAGGAAGAACCGGACGUUGAUGGAUGCGGCAAGGACCAUGAUGGCGGAGUUCAAGUCUCCAUACAACUUCUGGGCCGAAGCCAUCAACACAGCUUGUCAUGCAUCCAAUCGGCUCUAUCUCCACAAAGGCUUGAACAAGACUCCGUAUGAGAUACUCACCGGGAACAAGCCCAAUCUCAAGUACUUCCGGGUGUUCGGGUGUAAGUGUUUCAUUCUCAAGAAAGGUGUUCGUUUGUCUAAAUUUGAAGCUAGAGCUCAUGAGGGCAUAUUUGUUGGUUAUGCUACAAACUCUCAUGCUUACCGUGUUCUCAACAAGUCCAACGGACUCAUUGAGGAAACGUGUAACAUGGAGUUUGACGAAAAUAACGGCUCCCAAGUGGAGCAAAGUGGUACUUGUGAUGUAGGUGAUGAAAUUCCUCCCCAAGCCAUAAGAAUAAUGGGUAUUGGUCAAAUCCUACCCAUUGAGGAACCCCUUGUGACCGAAGGAGAAGGACAAUGCUCUACUCAAGUAGAGCCAUCACCUCAUCAAGACCCACACGCUUCCGAAGAACAAAGUGAAGGCCCUCAACCUUGUGAACAAGACCAAGGGCAAGAUCGAUCUCAAGAUGGUGGUGAACCUCUAAACGAUGCCCAAGGUCAAGUUCUCCCCCUCGAGCAAGUUCAAGAUCAAGAGCAAACUCAAGCUCAAGGACAAGCCCAAGAUCAAGAACAAGCUCAAGACGGCGCUCAAGAUGAUCAAGUCAACCCUCCCUCCACAUCCGAGGAGGAAUUAGAGCGUCGCGCCGCGAAGAUUGCUUCCAAGCUCACCACUCAAGGCCAUCUCGUGGAAAAUGUAUUUGGAAGCCUAAGAAAGGGGGUAAGCACUCGUAGACAAUUAGCAAACUAUUGUGAACAUCACGCGUUUGUCUCUUCUGUUGAACCCCAAAAGGUAUAUGAGGCGCUCGAACACUCGGAUUGGCUCAAUGCCAUGCAUGAAGAACUCAACAACUUCGAGUACAACAAAGUUUGGAGAUUGGUGCCAAGGCCAUCGGGGAACCACAACGUCAUUGGAACAAAGUGGAUCUUCAAGAACAAGCAAGAUGCUCAUGGGAACAUCAUUCGCAACAAGGCAAGAUUGGUAGCACAAGGGUACUCCCAAGUCGAGGGUAUCGACUACGGUGAAACCUUUGCUCCCGUUGCUCGUCUUGAAUCCAUUCAUUUGUUGAUUGCAUAUGCUUCCCAUCACAACUUCAAGUUGCAACAAAUGGAUGUGAAAAGUGCUUUUCUUAAUGGUCCCAUUAAUGAGUUGGUCUAUGUCAAGCAACCCCCCGGGUUCGAGGACCCCUACUUCCUGGAUCAUGUGUAUCAACUCGAUAAGGCACUCUAUGGCCUUAAACAAGCCCCACGUGCGUGGUAUGACCACCUUACCGAGUUGCUACAAGAUCGUGGCUCUGAAGUAGGACAAAUCGAUCCCACUCUUUUUACUAAGAAGGUCAAAGGGGAGUUGUUUGUAUGCCAACUAUAUGUUGAUGACAUUAUCUUUGGGUCUCCUAACAAAGCUUUCAAUGAGGAAUUUGCCGCACUCAUGACCUCCAAGUUCAAGAUGUCUUCGAUGGGAGAGUUGAAGUGUUUCCUUGGUUUUGACAUCAAACAAAGAAGAGAAGGAACCUUCAUCAACCAAGCCAAAUACACUCAAGACAUGCUUAAAAGAUUCAAGCUAAGUGACGUCAAACCGGCUACUACACCAAUGCCUACCAAGUGCCAACUUGACAUCGAUCCCAAUGGUAAAGCGGUGGAUCAAAAGGUAUAUCGCUCCAUGAUUGGCUCCUUGCUUUACCUUUGUGCAUUUAGACCGGAUAUCAUGUUGAGUGUGGGGAUGUGUGCACGUUUUCAAGCCGCACCAAAGGAAAGUCACUUUGUGGCGGUCAAGCGAAUCUUUCGAUAUUUGGCUCAUACCCCAAACUUUGGCCUAUGGUACCCAAGAGGAGCAAACUUCAAGCUUGAAGGCUUCACGGAUUCCGAUUGGGCGGGAGACAAAGUGGAUAGGAAGUCCACUUCUGGAGGAUGCCAAUUUCUUGGUUGCUCUUUGGUAAGUUGGUCUUCCAAAAAGCAAAGUUGUGUGUCUCUCUCGUCCACUGAAGCGGAGUAUGUGGCGGCCGGUAGUUGUUGUGCUCAACUCCUAUGGAUGAGGCAAACUUUAAAGGAGUACGGUGUCAAUUGUGACAAAGUGCCUCUUUGGUGUGAUAAUGAAAGUGCCAUCAAGAUUUCUCUCAACCCGGUGCAACACUUCAAGACGAAGCACAUUGAGAUUCGGUAUCACUUCAUCCGGGAUCACAUUAGGCAAGGGGAGAUCGAGCUCAAGUAUGUCAACACUCAUGAUAACCUUGCAGAUAUUUUCACGAAGCCCUUGGAUGAAGCAAGAUUUCGCGAGUUAAGGCAUGAGCUAAAUAUCAUUGAUUUGAGCAAUGUGACUUGAACCCGUGCACCCCCCACCACACUCAAUGUGUUGUCUAGUUUAGGUGUAGGCAUGGACAUAGGGGGAGUGGUGUUCUCUCAAUGAACUCUCCCUCCCCCCAUUAUGCAUAAAACGAUCAACUCUUUCACUUUAGCCAUUGUUGAUGGUGCUUGUGCUUCAAAGACGAGUUUGGUCCUGGACCCAAGGAUAAUUCUUCGCGGUGCCAUACCAAUUGACUCAAACAUAGGUGGCUCCGGCCACCGCCCUCUCUUGAGAGAGGCCUGAGCUCGCUCUUUUUGUUGUUGUUUGCUUUGAAGGAGUGGGUUCCGGUUCGUGUUUCGUGUGUGUUGUCUUGUUGGUCUUUCUCUUGUCGUUGCCUUCCCGUUCUUCUCGGUGUGUUUUUCCCUUUUGUUUGCCUAGAAGUUUGUUUUUGGUUGCUGGCGGUACUACCGCCGCUGGCGAGCGGUACUACCGCUCCAAGCGGUACUACCGCCCUCCAGUGCGGUACUACCGCUGAGAGGCGCGGGUGAGGGUUUUAUCGGGGCAGGGGGAGUUUCUUCUCCCCCAUACCCAUUCGCACGCCCCCUCACUUGUUUCUCUCUCUCUCCAGCAACCGGCGCCGCGGGAGGGCUCCGGCGGAUCUCCCUCUCCGGGCCGUCCCUCUCCAUUCCCUUCGGUGGAGUCGAUCCCCACCUCGUCCUCUUGCCAUGGAUGCCAGUAUUGCCCCCGUUCUCUUGUUCUUUUUGUCUAGGUUUCCAAUCUAGCUUCGUAGGGGCAGUAGCGAUUGCAUCUUUAGAUUUUUGGCCAAAUCUAGGCUUGAGUAGGUUGGAGAUUGCUUCUAGGCAGUUUGGAUUAGUGUUUGGUUGGAGUAUUUUUGAAUUUGGUAGGACGGAAGUACCGGAUCUGACCACGAUAGUAGGAAACUGUUGUUUCCCCGCCUCAAGCGGUACUACCGCUCUCUCGAGCGGUACUACCGCUGUGAGCGGAACUACCGCUCUCUAGAGCGGUACUACCACUUGGAGCGGUACUACCGCCCAAGGGUCACGGUACUACCGCCCUCUACCAGAUUCCAUUCUACUUCUACUUUUCAUUAAUCUUUUUGCUCGUGUUUGGUGUCUUAUGCUCGUGUUUUCUGGUUGUUUGCGUGUUCUUGUGUGUGGUUCCAGGUGAUGAGGUCCCUGAGCAUCAGGCUCGUCGUGUCAAUCCCGGACGUGCCUCGUCCAAGCGCUACCGCACCACCGAGCCUGCCGGAGGAUCCUCAAGUGCUCCACCUCCUCCUCCACCUCAACUCCCGAAGAAAUCUUGGGUCAAGCCAAAGGCAACCAAAACCGUGCCUGAAAUGCCUCCCAAAGAGUUCUGGGCAAGGCGCCGCCGCAACCCGUAUGAGAACGACCAAGAUCCCACUUUGGUCAACCGUCCGUUCUGGAACAGAUUUCAGUUUGCCAUCUUCUUUGAUGUUCUCAAAGCCAAGAAGAAUCUCUAUGUCAACGCGCACUCCAUCGACACCGCGCAUAUGGAGAGCGAUCCCGACUACUUUGGUGAAGCACUUCAGAUGUGCACUCAACUGAACAUUCUCAGGAUCAUGCAAUUCAACAAGGACUACGAUGCUGAUAUUGUGGCUCAAUUCUAUGCCACGGUUCACCUAGGGACUGAUGUGGAUAGGACACUGACUUGGAUGACAAAUGGCAAGUUGCUUUCUGUCACGUGGAAAGCUUUCAUGGAGUUGCUUGGGGUGGAAGAUCUAGGUCUUGAGUCUCCGGUUGGCUUUCGCCCCCACGCCCGCGCCCAUUGCACUCACAAGCAAGCUCUCUGGCCAUACUGCACUCUGAAGAUCAACUCUGAGACACACAAGGAAACCUAUGAGAUGCCUUCCUUUCUGAAUAUCCUGCACCGCAUCUUCAGAGAGACUCUUUUCCCUCGCAUUGGGAAUCUGUACCAGGUUCAUUCUUAUCUCGUGGACAUGCUUCUUUUCUGCCAGCGUGAGAAGGACAAUCCCACCGGGGAGUCGUUGGAUGUCUCUCAUGUUAUGUGGGGUGAGUUGGUUUCUGCUAUCUCCGAGCGCAAGUGCCCGAUCUAUGGUCCGUUCAUUAUGCUGCUCAUUGAGAAGGCCUGGGAUCGUGUCUAUCCCAAGGCGGCACUGGAGAUUGGCGAUUUGGUCUCUCACGAUGUCAAGAGUCUGAGGAAGAAGGAUAACUGGGGCACUCAGGCCCCUAGGACUGGUGUUCCGUCAUCUGCUGCUGCCAUGAAGACUGAGGAAGAGUUUGGUGUUGAGGCUGAGGAUGAGGAUGAUGACUACGUGCCCUCUGGGACAGAGCCAUCUUGGGCCAAGAAGCUCAAGGCCAAGGUAAAGAAGCUCUUCUGCAUGGAGUCUCACGGUCAGUACAUGGCUCACGUGGCUGAGAAGAAGGCCCGCGGUCGCCACAAGGAGCUCAUGCGUCAGAUGGGUGCUAUUGUGAUUAGUGGCUCUGAGGAUCAGCUCACCGAGGAGGAGUGGAUUCAGCAGCACUGCCCUUGGACUGAUUCUGAUGCUGAGCACUUCCCGGCUAACGAUGGUGGCGUUGAUGACCCCUCUGAGAUCUGAUGUGUGUGUCCCUCUUUUGCUCUCACCUGGAGCGGUAGCAGCACUCCCUCUCCUUUUUGGUGUCUCGGUGCCAAAGGGGGAGAGAGUUUAGGGAUUUGCGAGUUGUGUCUUCGUGUCUUGUUCGUGGUUGUGUCUUGUUCGUGUUUUCCUCGCUUUUGCUUUGGUUGGUUUGUCUGUGAGUCCUAAGUUCGAGUGAGACUUAAGUUCGAAUCAUAUGGUGUGAGACAGAUGCUACCUUACCUUUCAGUAUCAUUAUCUAUGUCUAUCUAGCUCAUGAGUUGCGUGCUUCUCUUGUUAUAUCAUCUAUGCUGCUCUCCUACACCAUGCUUAGAUUGUUGGUCUCUAAAAUGUAGGGGGAGCUCUGAUCCUAUUAUGUGUGUUGUGCAGUCCAAAGCACUUAUCGAAAUAGCACACAUCUAGGGGGAGCCCAUCUACAUGUUAGGAUCGUGGGGUUUGUAUGCGUACUCUAUAUCUUGUUUAUGCAAAUCCCGUAUUGUCAUCAAUCCACCAAAAAGGGGGAGAUUGUAAGGGCUUAUUUAUCCCAUAGUGGUUUUGGUGAUUGAUGACAAUGCUUUUGCGGACUAAUCGUGUGCUUUAAGUUCUUUCAGAGAAUCAUCCAUUGGCACGAGAUGAUUUCCUCCCCUCGGUGUUUUUAUUCAAGACGGUGUAGCUCCUGCAUUUCGUUGUUGGUGGACUAGUUUCGUAGGAGUCACCAUACUAUUAAGAGGGGAUCCGCUUUGGUAAGACUAGGGUGGAAUCAACACGUACACAUCCUUAUCACACCCGUCGUCUUCCUUUCGCAUCUUUGGAGCUGCACCUCUCUUCCGUACCUGCUUUGCCCUGUGCCAGCGGUAGUACCGCGGUCUACAACGGUAGUACCGCCGAAGCCCCCCAGCGGUAGUACCGCUCCACGAAGCGGUAGUACCGCUCUAAGUGAUAGUACCGCUCCGCAGAGCAGUAGUACCGCUCGCGGGCUUCGGCCGUAGUACCGCGUAGUACCGCGCCUACUGCCGCCUCGAUUCGAGACGGUGUUUUCUCGUUUCGGGUUUUGCGGCACUAGUAGCGGCAGUAGAAGCGGUAGUACCGCUCUGAGCGGUAGUACCGCUCUACUCCCGCGGUAGUACCGCUCUGGGCAGUGGCCUGACUUUCUCUUCAGCGCGGUAGUACCGCUGAAUAGGGAGCGGUAGUACCACCCUCAGCGGUAGUACCGCCCUUCCCUAGCGGUAGUACCGCUCUGUGCGGGGCUGCUCAGUGGGGUAACGGUUGGAUGUGUCCCCCCACUAUUUAAAGGGGUCUUCUUCCUCCUAGUUGAACUACCUCUUUCCCCCAAAGCUCCAUUGUUGCUCAAAGCUCCAUUUUCGCCCGAUUUCUCUCCCUAGCCAAUCAAACUUGUUGAUUUGCUCGGGAUUGAUUGAGAAGGCUCAGAUCUACACUUCCACCAAGAGAAAUUUGAUUCCCCCCACUUAUCCCUUGCGAAUCUUGUUACUCUUGGGUGUUGAGCACCCUAGACGGUUGAGGUCACCUCGAAGCCAUACUCCAUUGUGGUGAAGCUUCGUGGUGUUGUUGUUGUUGUUGGGUGCCUCCGGUUGUUGUGGAGUUUGCCCCAACCUUGCUUGUAAAGGUUCGGUCGCCGCCUUCAAGGGCACCAAUAGUGAAAUCACGGCAUCUCGCAUUGUGUGAGGGCGUGAGGAGAAUACGGUGGCCCUAGUGGCUUCUUGGGGAGCAUUGUGCCUCCACACCGCUCCAACGGAGACGUACUUCCCUUUAAAAGGAAGGAACUCCGGUAACACAUCCUCGUCUCCACCGGCUCCACUCUUGGUUAAUUCGUGCCCUUACUUUUGCAAGCCUACUUGUUGUUACAUCCUUGCUUGAUUGUGUGCUAGUUGUUAUUGCAUCAUAUAGGUUGCUCACCUAGUUGCACAUCUAGACAACCUAUUUUGUUGCAAAGUUUAAUUUGGUAAAGAAAAGCUUAAAAUUGUUAGUUGCCUAUUCACCCCCCCCCCUCUAGUCAACCAUAUCGAUCCUUUCAUCCAUAAAAAUAGAGCAUCUCCAAUAGAAGAUGCAAAUUUAGAGAUGUAAAAAUUUACAUCUUCAAAAAGUGCUUUUUGCAUCUCCAAAAAAUGCCAACUCCAACAGAUUAUGCAAAACGGAGAUAUAAAAAAGCAACUCCAAUAGAAGAUGCAAAUGGAGAUGUAAAACUAUACUUCAACUACUAUUUCAUUUGAAACCUAUACUUCAAACAUAGAAAAGUCAACUACUAUUUCAUUUCAAACAUAAUUAAACAUAGUUCUAAUUAAUAAAAACAUAGCAAACUCAACUACUACUAGUUCGAGGUACUACAUUAAUUCAUCUACUUCUACUAUACUACUACUACUACUACUACUACUACUACUACUACUACUACUACUACUACUACUACAUCUGCUGCUGCUGCUGCUACUACUACUACAUCUACUACUACUACUACUACUACUACGAGUUCGAACUACAUCUACUUAAACUACUUCGAAGAUAAAACUACUACUCAUCAGCAGAGUUCUCGAACUGCUCCCAGAAAUCAUCCUUGACUGGGACAUCACAACCCUCGUCCUCCUCCUCGGAGUCGCCCCAGUCCUCCUCGGAGGAGUCGACAAGGAUCACCGUCAAGGGGACAUCCUCGUUCUUCUUCUUCUUCUUCUUCUUCUUCUUCUUCUUCUUCUUCUUCUUCUUCUUCUUCUUCUUCUUCUUCUUCUCGAUGUCGCGCUUUCACCAGAACUCCUGCUUGGCCUGCACAUACUCCGAAUGCUCACGUGCGAACCUCGCCAUCGCCGCCACGUCGCUCUGGCCAGGACUAACGACAAUGGCAGGCCUCUUCUUCUUCGUCUUGAUCCCCUUCAAGUGAAUGCCCCCCAACACGAGCAACUCCGCAUCCGCCUGGGUCCCGAUCUCAAGGAAGUUGAGGCCCUUCUUCGGCCUCCCGACACGCCACACCGCCACGUCGUAAGCACGCGCGCCAUCGUGGGCGGUGGGGUACAUGCCGAGCCAAAAGCGAUGGCCAACGUCGGAGAAUUCGACCCCGACGUUGCCGGAGGGCUUCGCCCUCACGGCGAAGAAGCCCGUAUUGCCCCUCGGGGUCUUCCUCGACCACAUGGCGAGGCGGCGCGGUGCAGCGACGGGGCGGCGCGGUGCGAUGGAUCCGUGGCGGCGACGGCAGGGUUGGGGCGGAUGCGGCGGGGUCGGGCGGAGCGCGAUGGAUCCGUGGCAGCGACGACAGGGUAGGGGUGGAUGGUGUCGGACGGAGAGGAGGGUUAGGGCGGAGACGUGGCGGCCUGGCGGGGUCAGGGCGGAGCCGGGGCGGCGACGACCCAAUUAGCGCCGUACGAUGGCGGGCGGCGGCCGAAAGUGGGAGGAAAUCGAAAGCGGGCGGUGAGGCGGAGGUGGAUCCGCGGCGGCGCGCUGAUUUGGGUGGCGGCCGAGCGGCGCGAGGAUGAAGAUUUGGGGAAGGGGAAGAGAAAGGAAGUGGGAGUUGGGUAGUUGACGAGCGGCCACGUUUUUACAUUUCCUGGAGUUGGAGAUGCAAAUUUGCACCGCGAAGUAUUAUAGUUUACAUCUUUGUGAGGCGGAGAUGUAAUUUUUUUUCACCUACAUCAUCUACUGGAUUAGUGUUUUUGGGUUUCAAAUAUGCAAAAGUUAGGUAUUUUUACGUGUACAUCUUCUAUCGGAGAUGCUACUACAUAUUAUCGUUACUCGUGGGCUGCCCCCUUCACAAUUACCGGGAGAUCCAGUCCGGUCCCGGCACGACGCCACCGAAGCAUUUUACUAAGAUAAAAUCAGAUUUGUGUUCAAAAAAAAGAAAGAUAAAAUCAGAUUGAAACGCCGCCUCCUCUGCCUCUGCCUCUGGUACCGGUAGUUUCCCCGCCGGCAGAUCUGCUCUGCUCCGGUCCGCUCCCCUCACCGGCAGGCACCAUGAUGCACUACCUGUACCAGCAGGAAAUCCAGCGGGAGAACCGGCGGCGGAGCCUCCUGCUCCGGCAGAUGGAGGAAGGCCACGCCGAGCUGCUCAACUGGCCUGCUCUGAUCCAGCGCGGACGAUAUGCGCACCACCUUGGGAUCAUCACCAGGGUACACUCCGUAAAUCACCACCAUCUAUCUAUCUAUCUUUCUUUUUCUCUAUCUAAAAAAUACAAGUAUCGAAUUGAAUGCUGAAUUGCCUUUUUCAAUUGCAGUGCGCUACGGCCGUGCUGGGCCUGGCGAUUCUGAUCUACGUGUUGGUGCUCAAGUACAAGUACCACCUGCCCGAGCUGCAGGAUCCCAUUGACAUGGGGGCGUGUGUGUUUGUGGCUCUCUGCUUCAUCCCAUCCGGCUACCUCUGUACUCAAGACUACUCCAUAUCCAAACUUGGCUUCUUGUUUGCUUGCUAGCUUGGAGGAUUAGCUAGGCAGGAUCUCCCUAGGACAAGUGAAAGUUUGUUAAUCACUUCCUCUUUCUCUGUAAAGAAAUAUAAAAGCGUUUAGAUCACUAGAGCGAGUACUCUUCUUCUUGGUCUUCUUUCAGGCAGCAGUUUGCAGGUCAGAAAUAUCAACUGUUGAGGAACAACUUAUUAGCUAUUUGUGUGUUCACAACUUUACAUGGCUCGUGCCUAUAAUAGAUUGAGUGCUGUUGGUACGCCAUUAUGUUGGUGGUUGCUUGUCAGAGCAUGGAAUUGUUUACAUUUAUUCACUACCAUGGCACCUUUAUAUAUUCUUUAAUUAAACACUAUAUAUACUCUAAAAAGGAAAGGCACAAUAAGUAUGAAAGAAAUAAUCCGAAUCAGAGACCAUAACCUUCAGCGCUGUUGAAUUCUGCGUUUCAGCAAACUGCAUUUCGAAAAUGCCUGGAUUUCCACUCUAUCCAUCAUCGUUCAGAAGGUGCCGUAUUUUCAAAAAAAAAAAAAGAGAGAGGAAGGUACCGUAUUUUCUCUAUUCAAGCGACGCUGGUUCCGCCAAUUUUUAUAUUCGCCAUAUAAAGAGAUCUUAAAUAGUGUUGACAUGAGGCAUGGCAACAAAAUGCAAGACGGAAUGUGCAUCAUGGUGGUCUCGUUCGUUCACACACCUACGCGAGACCCCAACUUUUGAUAAACCAAAUACAAGUUGCAGCACUGAUAAACCAAAUUUUGAAACCCAGAAGGGCUCUUGAACACGAGAGCUUGUUUUUCAGACCAUGACCAAAUAUAUACAGUAGUUUUUCUGUAUUCUACAGGCCAAUGGACACAUUCAGAUGUCAGUAUAUCACACACCUCUGAGAGUGCAUUCUGAUUAACUGACAUCGCAAACAAGACAACCAAUUGUUUGUGCAGUUGUUGCAGUGAAUAGCUAACAAGAAUAUAUGAAUAUAACGUAAAUUAAAUGUUACUACUGGUUGUGGAAUCGGAAAGGUUACAACUUACAACUAAGGCAAGCAUGAGUAGAUUCACAGCUAAUAACCCGUGUCAAAUGGCUACACCACCUAGAGAAGAUCACACUACAGACAAUAAGAACACCAACAUCAACCUUUACACGACAAAGCCAAAUAAUCCGGGUAAGAAAUUUUAACAAACGACCCCAGUACCAGAAAAAGGCCACCAUCCAGAGCAGAUCAUUCUCACACUAUUGAUAGGUUAACAGAACUUAUCUGACAUACACCUAAAAAAAACUUAUCUGACAUAGAUUUAAAAUCAGCACCAACAUCAUACCAGCAUUUUGGCAUGUAUGGAAAAAGCACCAGUGCAUUAACCGAGCAACUCAGAAGCAACUUGCAAACAUUGGCACCAGAAAAAAUAAAAGGAAAAACAACUGCAUAACUAAAAGAAAAGAACUUCUUUAGAAUUGUUGAACUAUAAUACAUUUUACUUUCCAAAGCAUUUUCCCACCUAAAAAUUAUGGGUCAUAACUAACUCUACUCUUUUUCUUCGCUACUCCGCAUACUCUAAGCUUUCUUCACUACUCUUUUUCCCUUCUUUUUAAUGUUCACCAACAACAACAACAACAAAGCCUUUAGUCCCAAACAAGUUGGGGUAGGCUAGAGGUGAAACCCAUAAGAUCUCGCAACCAACUCAUGGCUCUGGCACAUGGAUAGCAAGCUUCCACGCACCCCUGUCCAUAGCUAGCUCUUUGUCGAUACUCCAAUCCUUCAGGUCUCUCUUAACGGACUCCUCCCAUGUCAAAAUCGGUCGACCCCGCCCUCUCUUGACAUUCUCCGCACGCUUUAGCCGUCCGCUAUGCACUGGAGCUUCUGGAGGCCUGCGCUGAAUAUGCCCAAACCAUCUCAAACGAUGUUGGACAAGCUUCUCCUCAAUUGGUGCUACCCCAACUCUAUCUCGUAUAUCAUCAUUCCGGACUCGAUCCUUCCUCGUGUGGCCACACAUCCAUCUCAACAUACGCAUCUCCGCCACACCUAACUGUUGAACAUGUCGCCUUUUAGUAGGCCAACACUCCGCGCCAUACAACAUUGCGGGUCGAACCGCCGUCCUGUGGAACUUGCCUUUUAGCUUUUGUGGCACUCUCUUGUCACAGAGAAUGCCAGAAGCUUGGCGCCACUUCAUCCAUCCGGCUUUGACUCGAUGGUUCACAUCUUCAUCAAUACCCCCAUCCUCCUGCAACAUUGACCCCAAAUACCGAAAGGUGUCCUUCCGAGGUACCACCUGGCCAUCAAGGCUAACCUCCUCCUCCUCACAGCUAGUAGUACUGAAACCGCACAUCAUGUACUCGGUUUUAGUUCUACUAAGCCUAAACCCUUUCGAUUUCAAGGUUUGUCUCCAUAACUCUAACUUCCUAUUUACCCCCGUCCGACUAUCGUCAACUAGCACCACAUCAUCCGCAAAGAGCAUACACCAUGGGAUAUCUCCUUGUAUACCCCUUGUGACCUCAUCCAUCACCAAUGCAAAAAGAUAAGGGCUCAAAGCUGACCCCUGAUGCAGUCCUAUCUUAAUCGGGAAGUCAUCGGUGUCGACAUCACUUGUUCGAACACUUGUCACAACAUUAUUGUACAUGUCCUUGAUGAGGGUAAUGUACUUUGCUGGGACUUUGUGUUUCUCCAAGGCCCACCACAUGACAUUCCGCGGUAUCUUAUCAUAGGCCUUCUCCAAGUCAAUGAACACCAUAUGCAAGUCCUUCUUAUGCUCCCUAUAUCUCUCCAUAAGUUGUCGUACCAAGAAAAUGGCUUCCAUGGUCGACCUCCCAGGCAUGAAACCAAACUGAUUUUUGGUCACGCUUGUCAUUCUUCUUAAGCGGUGCUCAAUGACUCUCUCCCAUAGCUUCAUUGUAUGGCUCAUCAGCUUAAUUCCACGGUAAUUAGUACAACUCUGAACAUCCCCCUUGUUCUUGAAGAUUGGUACUAAUAUACUCUGUCUCCAUUCUUCUGGCAUCUUGUUUGCCCGAAAAAUGAGGUUGAAAAGCUUGGUUAGCCAUACUAUCGCUAUGUCCCCGAGACCUUUCCACACCUCAAUGGGGAAAAGGGAAAAUUACUUUCAGGACUGAUUUAUUUCAUUUUUAUAUGUAUUCUCUCAGGAGGUUCUCCAUAUAUUACUUGUUGAGUCCCUGUUUUAAAUAAAGUUACCCAUGAAUUUUCUUGCACUUUAUUACUCAAAAAUUGUAUGCCAUGCAGGAAGUAAAUCCUGAGUAGGGUGAAAAACAAAAUGGAAUGUGCAGAUGAGAUUGAUACAGGAACAGGAAAAUAAACUUGACUGCACAAUAAUCUUGAACAUUAAAUUGCAGUGCACAAACUAACUUCCUUUUCCCUCCAACCUACUGGCUAGCCUGAAGGAUGUGCUCAAUAUUUCAUAUUUGCAGUAAGCCCUCCUUUCUUGCUAAACAAAAACUAUCUCAAGAAAAUCAAUUAAGGACUGGUAUUAAUCGCACCAAAGCAAGGAUACCUAACUUGCAGCAGCCAACACGGUAGCACAUAUUUGUUACAGCAAGAGAUCAUAUGGCAUUUCACAAUAUUGUAAUAUGGCUAAAAUAUGGAUGGAUUAGACCAAACAAGAGCUACCUGGAAAAUGGAAACAGGAAUUAAGAAACAUGAUACUAUCUUCAUUUCAAAACUCAGUACACGGCUGAACUGGAAACCCGGUACAUUUCAAAACAUGCACUUUGGUUGUUGCUUGUCAGAGCAUGGAAUUGUUUACAUUUAUUCACUACCAUGGCGUCUUUAAACACAAUAUAUGCUCUAAAAAGAAAAGGCGCAAUAUCACAAGGUCCAUGACUAAUCAAAUUACUCCCACUAGUAUGAAAGAAAUAAUCCGAAUCAGAGACCAUAACCUUCAGCACUGUCGAAUGCUGCGUUUCAGCAGACUCCAUUUAGAAAAUGCCGGGAUUUCGACUCUAUCAAUCAUCAUUCAAAAGGUACUGUAUUUUCAAAAAAUAAAAUAAAGGCAGAAGGUACCGUAUUUUCUCUACUGAAGCGACACAAGGUUCUGCCAAUUCUUACAUUCGCCAUAUAAAGAGAUCUUAAAUAGUGCUGACAUGAGCCAUGGCAACAAAAUGCAUGAGGGGAAUGUAACAUGAGACAAGAUGCAGUUUGGGCUCUUGUACACAUCAUUAUAGAUUAUAUAUGCAUGUUGAAAGAAAACAUGUCUUGUUGUAAUAAAACAACUGUGUAUCUUAUUAUGCAGCAAACUAUGUCAUUGGCCUUGGCAAUAGUCUACGUCCAGCCAGCAUAAAUGCAUAAUCACUACACCGACAAAUAAGAUGAUCGUAUAAAAGCACAAACAACUUCUGCAUAUUACAGGAUAGCAUCACAGCAACUUCUGUUUUUUUUUCGACCUAAAUAUAUGCAAGCAGUGCUUGCUGCUUUGUCAAAUAAAAAGGUUGGUGCUCUGGAUCUGAAUUUCGCAGUAGCUCUCGUUCACACACCUACACGAGACCCCAAAUUUUGAUAAAUCAAAUACAAGUUGCAUAACAAAUAAACCAAAUUUCGAAACCCAGAAGGUCUCUUGAACACGAAAGCUUGUUUUUCAGACCAUGACCAAAUAUAUAGUUUUUCUGUAUUUCAACAGGCCAAAAGACACAUUCAGAUAUCACUAUAUCACUCACUUCUGAGAGUGCGUUCUGAUUAACUGACAGCGCAAACAAAACACCCAAUUUUGGUGCAGUUGUUGCAAUGAAUAGCUAACAGGGAUAUUUAAUUAAAUGUUACGACUGGUUAAGGAAUCGGAAAACUUACAACUUACAUCUAAGACAAGUAUGAGUAGAUUCACAGCUAAUAACCCGUGUCAAAUGGCUACACCACCUAGAGCAGAUCACAUUGCAGGCAAUAAGAACACCAACAUCAACAUUUGCACUAUAUUCGGGUAAGAAAUUCAAACAAACAACUCCAGUACCUGAAAAAGGCCACCAUCCAGAGCAGAUCAUUCUGCAGGCAAUAACACCCAAACCGAACCUUUGCACUAUUGAACUACAGCACCGACGUCAUACCAUCAUUUUGGCAUAGAUUGAAAAGGCACUAGUGCAUUAACCGAGCUACUCAGAAGUAACUUCCUAACAUUGGCACCAGAAAAGAUAAAAGGAAAAAUAACUGCAUUACUAGAAGAAAAGAACUUCUUCAGAAUGAUAGUAUCUUCAUUUCAAAACUCAGUCUACGGCUGAACCUGGAAUGUACUUUCUCAAAAGUAGAACAAACUGUUACAUGCACUGUACAGUGAGACUCCAUUGCUUUAACUAUGGUCAUAUGUUCAGUAAUCUGCCAUAAUUGCCUAUUCCACAGUGAACAACAAAUCAAUAAUCAUGUACCAAGGCUACAACACUACGCUCCCCAUCGGAUCCAUCUGCGAACC